rnacentral:lncRNA from 1 species
UCUGAUCCAAAAUGCUGAACUUAUAUGUAUCAUUGGUUACAAAUCGUUAAAUAUAUUUGAUAUAUUGUCCAAUAAACAAUAAAAAGUGAAACGUAUCAUUAUCAUAUUAUAUUUAUUGUUGGAAGAUUGCUGGAAAAUAUAAACAAACAGUCUACACAAGGAUAUAUACCUCAGAUAUAUAUGAAAGCCAACAAAAGAAAUAUAUAAAAAAAACAAAAACAGAAUAUAUAUUAAACAUGCAGAGAUGAUAUAUAUUAAAACGGCAAGACGUUGAUUAUACAUGAGUGUACGUAUUAGUUUCUCAAGGGUGUGAAGGCAGCGGAGGCCAUUUCCCGAACUUGGGGUGGUGAAUGUAUUUAGGAGGAAGAGGUGGAAACUUAGGAAGCGGUGGGAGUGGCGGACAUGGCUUCUUUGGAAUCACCACCGGUGGUUCGUAUACUGGUACCGGCGGAGGGCAUGGCUUUUUCGGAAUCACAACAGGUGGUUUAUAGAUUGGCGGAUGCUCUAUCUUCGGCGGCGGCUUGUAGAUUGGAACCGACGGUGGAAGAUCUAUCUUGGGCGGACAAGGUUUCUUCGGCGGCUUGUGGAUUGGUACAUGCGGUGGUAAGACUAUCUUUGGCGGCGGCUUGUGGACUGGAACCGUCGGUGGGUCAACUUUCUUUGGCGGACAAGGCUUCUUUGGUGGUGGUUUGUGGACUGGCACCGGCGGGGGAAGCUCGGCCUUCGGAGGACAUGGCUUCUUUGGGAUANNNNNNNNNNNNNNNNNNNNNNNNNNNNNNNNNNNNNNNNNNNNNNNNNNNNNNNNNNNNNNNNNNNNNNNNNNNNNNNNNNNNNNNNNNNNNNNNNNNNNNNNNNNNNNNNNNNNNNNNNNNNNNNNNNNNNNNNNNNNNNNNNNNNNNNNNNNNNNNNNNNNNNNNNNNNNNNNNNNNNNNNNNNNNNNNNNNNNNNNNNNNNNNNNNNNNNNNNNNNNNNNNNNNNNNNNNNNNNNNNNNNNNNNNNNUGGAGGACAUGGCUUCUUAGGGGUCGGCGGUGGAAGCUCUACCUUCGGCGGUGGGUCGUGAACUGGUACAGGAGGUGGGUGCUCAAUCUUCGGAGGUUUAGGUGGACAAGGCUUCUUAGUAAUCGGCGGUGGAAGUUCCACCUUUGGUGGUGGCUCGUGAACGGGGACAGGGGGUGGAACCUCUUCCUUUGGCGGUGGCUCGUAGACCGGAACCGGAGGAGGAACCUCCUCGGGAGGGCUGUAUUUAGGUGGACAGGGUAUCUUGAAUUUAGGAAAAGGUGGAAGUACCAAAGGCGGAUGAUCAAAGCCCUUGAAAGGAGGUAACUUAGGCAUAGGCCAGAAGAACUUGGAAACGCAAAUUUCGGGUGAAAACUUGAGGUUUUGUUUGAGACCCAAAACGUGUUUAUCCACGGACUUGGAUAAAAACACAAUCUUGGUGGAUUCAAGGCCGUCGUGAGCUGGACAAGGGGUACCCUUAGCGCUGUGAAGCUGAGCGUAACACUCCUCCUUUAAAGUUCCGUCGUCGGAGACAAUGUCAUGAGGAAUAGUCAGGCCAAACUUUCCUUUAUCGUCAAUGUUUCCGGAACCUUUUGUAACAAAAUGGCCUUUAUUCACCUUACAGUCGAUCGUCACUCGUAGUCCUGUAUAGCAAAUGAUCUUAAUUAAUUAUCAUACACAUUUAAUUUGAUCAAACAUUAUAAAAGUUAGUAAUGAAUGUGGGUUAUAUAUUAUGAAGUUGCCUGAAAAUGCAUGGGGGCUUUUGAUCUUGCUCUCGGCGUAACCGACAACCUCGACGACACGAGCGAGUGAGAGAGUCGCUGAAGUGAAGAGAAUAGACACGAGAAGGAGGAGGCAGAAGGGAACCGAACCUCGAGGUUCGGGUAAGAUCCUCAUUGGGAUUAUCACCCUCUGAGAUCUCUGACACACUUGUCUUUCGCUUGCUGAAAAUACUAAGUUUAUUUAUAAAAGAAGAAAGAAACUAUAUGAUAUAUAUGAAGAGUCUUUAUUUAGUGGAGAAGGUGGUGAUAUGUGUUUAUACCGAGACUUCCCCUCGUUUAUAUAAUGGUCUUAGCAAAGAUUUUAUAUUUCGAAGAUGGGAUCUUAAUUACUAUUACUUGCUAAAUUUUGUUACCAACAAUAAUUGGAUUCAGCGAUUUUCUGAUAUAUUGUAUCAUAUAUUAAAUGUCCAUGGUCCAUCUUAUCGUUGUUAAUUUAGUCUAUAGGAGGCACUUUAUGAUAUUUUUCAUGCAGGGGUGGUUGAAACCUAUUGACUUUUGUUUGAUUUCCUUAAUACGACAACGGCAUUCAAAAUUCACUCUCUUUUUAUUUUUGUUUCCCUCAUCAACGUUAUUGCACGAGACACAUGCGUACAACUUUUGCCACAAGGAUUCCGCAAAUGUAUAUGUUUAAUUUUUUAUUGUUAGAAAUUGCAAGAUGAGCAUGCAUACAUUGUAACUCUUUUUUUUUUUUUUUUUUUUUUUNNNNNNNNNNNNNNNNNNNNNNNNNNNNNNNNNGAGAGAGAGAGAGAUAGAAAGAAAGACAAAUGAUUUUUAAAAAGUGCGUGCAUACGCGCCACCAAACGGAAAUUGAAUUGAAGCGAAUCACCACAAUAUGGUUAGAAGAAGAGAAACUUAACUGUUUAUGGAAAGAAAAGGAAAAAAAGAUAGUCACACACUCACACUACUUGUCGGCUUGUGGUUCUUAAUUUGCCCCCUCCUCACUAAUUAUCUUUUUACCGAGAAGUCAUUAAUACCGCCAUGCUAACAAAAAUUUAUUCUUAAAUCUUUAUAAAUAGUACAUGUACACAUUUAUGUACGACAUGGAACCAUAUAUGCUUAUACUACUUGUUUUUAACCAACGAACCGUGAAACCAAAUCAAGCAAUGAACUAACGAAAUCGGUCAGAGAAGCUUGAUUUUAUUAUUGGCAUUAUUGGUUAGCGGAGAUAGAAGUUAAUACUAUCUCUCAUCAAUCCACUUCGACUUUGAAGUUGGCAAGGCCCUUCUCAAUCAAUGCAGCCAGCUCAAAAGCCUUACUACUAUUUCUUCAUCUUUCUUCAUUUUCUUUUGGGUGAAAUUUUUAUAUAUGCGUAACGUUAAAAUAAUAUGAACUCUCCUUUUCUUCGAAAAUAAAAACAAGAGACGACUAAGAACACAUGCAAAACAUAGCAACUUGGUGACAAGCAAGAAUGCAUAUAUAUAUAUAUAUAUAUCACUUUGAUGACUAUAUACAAAAAGAAAAAAGAAAAACAGCACGUAAGUAUAAAAUUGAUGCAUAAUUACGAAUAUUUGAUGACGCAAAGUCGACAUGUGUGCAUGCAAUUAGCUAAUCCGACUUUCAAAUUGAGAGACGUGACGUGAUUACUGAUUGUAGUCCGGUUUGCGUUUUAGGUGUUACAAUCUUACAACGCGAACUAGUAUAAAAAUGGAGGAUACAUACAUUGUUUGUUUCUUCUUCUUUUUUGUUUGUUUUUGUUUUAAAUGGUAAUAUGGUUAGUCAAAUUAUAUAUGUAUAAAGAGAUAUCUCAUCAUGAUCAUUAUGUCCAUUGCCAUUGCCAUAUUAAAGAUCUACCUACUCAUCCACGCCCAUUAAUAGGAUGGCUUUGGACAGUUGUAUAUAUAAUAAGAGGCUGAAGUUGAAAGUCAUUAUACAAUAUUCAUCUUCCGGUAUAAUCAUCUUCACAAGAAAAAAAGAAAUACUUGCUUACUGUACGUACACAUGAAGAGAUUAUCCAUCACCAACCAUAAGUCCCAUUCUAUUAUAUAUCAAAACAUGUAAUAAAUAGCGUAUUUGUGUAGAUGGCGAGUGUGUAGAUGUUGGUUAUUUGUAUAGUCGAUCCGGGUCACUAAUUAAUGUGUAGAUGUUGGUUACUUUAUUAUAUAAGACUGUUAAUUUACGCAACAUAUAGAACUUCACUUUUUUUCUUAUAUUUUGCAUUUGGUUUAUAGACACUCGUAUAAUGUAUAGUAUUAUAAUUUAGUUGAAUUAAUAUGCGUCAUUUUUAUAAGGAAAACACACAGUUACCAAAAAAAAAAAGUUACGUACUAAUCUUUACGUAAAUACGAAAAUGAUUUCUUCUACGUUUAAAGUUAUAAUCACAGUGAGAAGAGAACCGAAAUGUUAUAAUAUUUAAUAUGAAGAAAACAAGUUCAUAUUUGAGUUAAAACCUGUCAAUGUAAUACAGAUUCAAAAAUAUAGCAGAAAGAGCACACAAUCGACUUUUAGUAAGGAUGGAAUUAUAAUAAUAUUCAAAACAUGUAAUCGACGUUAAAAAGAUUUACCACUAGAAAUUAACAAUGAUAGACAUAUAUAUAUUAACAAAACCUAUCUUAGGUAGCAAUAAAUAUAUCCACAUGUAGAAAAUUAAUAAAGGAGCUAAUAUUGGGGGCAACAAGGAACAUAGUCCCACAUGGUGCGAGUUUUGCGAUAUUAUUGUAUGUUAGGUGACGUGCGAUAAAUAUGUGAACUGUAUAAUGGUUCCACAUUGAUAUUAAAUCAAAAUUUGUUUUCAUGUAUCCAUAGAAAUGAGACGUACUUAAAAUAUCCCGACUGAUCGAGAUCUGGAUGUUGACAUAUUCUCUGAUCUGAUGAGCAUACAUACAACUGCAUUGUUCAUAUAAACUUCCAGUCGCAGAGAUGUAUUGAAUGUAAAAAGGACCCAUCCAUGAUAUUGGACGAAAAGAUUUUUACUAUUUGUACAAGUAAAACUACAAAAAGGUUGUUGUUAUGCUGUCCAAAUUGGUAUACGGAUUGAGCGAUCGGAUUGUUUUGCAAUGAAGUAAAAUUUUGAACAAACAAAAAAUCAGCUCUAAUUAACAAAGUAGGUCAAUAUGUGGACACAUCUCCCAUCGGUAAGUUAGUUUAUCAAUUGGGUGCAAACUCGAAUGCAUUCCCAAAUCGAAGCUAUACAUAACUAAGAGACAAUAUGAGCCUUUGCCAAAUAUUGUAUUUCUAUGCGACAAUCAAACUUUUUUCCCCUAUUCAAAAAUAAAUUGGUAUUUCUUAGAAGUUAUAACUAUAAUUGUUCCCUUUUUAAAAAUAAAUUUGUAGUUACGGAUUGCAAGAUUUGUCCUCGUUUAUUAUUAUAUAUUUUUUUGUAAUAUUGAAAACUUUUUUUUUUUAAUUUAACUUUAUAUACUGUGAGAAGAACUUCACAUUAUAAAUAACACAAACGAACAUAACAUAUUUAUCAGCGCAUAUAUAAUACUAUAAUUCAGUAAUGUGAGGAAAACUAAUUCCCACCGAAAAAAAUGCGAGGAAAACUAAUUAUGUCCGUUAUUCAAAACCCUCCGACUCUGCUAGAGUCAUAGAUAAGACAUUAUCAUCGUGAAAGUCUUUUUAUUUAUUUUUAGUCAUAGUCUCCUCAUAGAUAAGAUAAGUCAAACAUUGAAAAAUUUCGAGCAAAGUAACUGGGCCUGUUGAUAUCACAAAUUGGGCCGGAUAUAUACUUAACGGUCCACAGAAGGAUGUGGAACGGGUAAUUUAGUAAAAUUAGGGCAAGUCAACCACCAAAACCAGACUUUUGAAGUUAAUCUCUCUCGAUCAUAAAAAAAGAAGAAGAAAAAGUUACCUUUUUUCACUUUGCCGAGGAAAUCAGAGAGAGAAGAGGAAGAAGAAGAAAAGCGAAAAACAUGAAGGCGACGACGAAGACUCCGAUCCACGCGGUGUGGUCAUGGGUCAGGAGGCAACCUCCGAAGGUGAAGGCUUUUCUCUCCGUGGUCACUGGCAUGGCGGCUUUAGUUCUUCUCAGAUUCAUUGUUCACGAUCACGACAAUCUCUUUGUUGCCGCUGAGGCUGUUCAUUCCAUCGGGAUCUGUGUCCUCAUCUACAAACUCAUGAAGGAGAAGACCUGCGCCGGUACUAUUCUUUUCUUUUCUUCACAUCCAAUUCAAUUUUAGGGUUUUUCAACUCAGUACUACCCCCUCUGCUUCUGUAUUCGUCUCCGCUCCUAGCAAUAUUACUUGUCUACGCCACAACUCUCUUGUUUAUUUCUCAUAUGAUCAGUAAUUCAUUGGGUUCACACUAAUAGCAAUUUACGGUUUUAAGAUGCCUUUUUCUUUUUUAAUGCGAAACCACCUCAAAAACAUGUUGCAGGAUUGUCACUGAAGUCUCAGGAGCUUACGGCAUUAUUUCUAGCUGUUAGGUUGUAUUGCAGCUUCGUCAUGGAAUAUGAUAUACAUACCAUUCUGGACUUGGCUACUUUGGGAACAACCCUCUGGGUUAUAUUUAUGAUCCGUUUUAAGCUAAGAGCUAGUUACAUGGAGGACAAAGAUAACUUUGCUCUCUAUUAUGUGGUAAGCCUAUCUGCUUGUGUUGUUAAAAGAGUUUUUUUUUUUGCUUUGCAGUAACGAUGACGUGGUUUUAAUAUUUGCAGCUUGUGCCCUGUGUUGUGUUAGCUGUGUUGAUCCAUCCAUCGACCUCCCAUAACAUAUUAAACAGGAUUUCGUGGGCAUUAUGCGUAUACCUUGAAGCUGUUUCAGUUCUGCCUCAGCUUCGAGUGAUGCAGAACACAAAGGUCACUACUUUUUUUCACAAUGAUAAGUGGAGAACUAAACAGGACACAUUUGUUUUACUCUCUUAGCAUCUAUUUGGUUGUUUCAGAUUGUUGAACCGUUCACGGCUCAUUAUGUUUUUGCACUUGGAGUAGCAAGGUUCCUUAGCUGUGCUCACUGGGUUUUACAGGUUAGUUUUGAUCCAAUAUCAGUUCAUAUACAUCAAUACAUUGUAUGUCAAAUUCAAAUGCUGAAAGUGGUCUAGUACAAUGUCUAAUGUGUCAAAAUCAGGUUGUAGACACACGAGGACGAUUGCUUGUAGCAUUGGGUUAUGGAUUGUGGCCAUCAAUGGUUCUGAUCUCAGAAAUUGUUCAAACAUUCAUCUUGGCAGAUUUCUGUUACUACUACGUCAAAAGGUACACGAUUAGACCUUCAGUUCAACGUUUUUAGCUCUUUAUACAACUCUAAAAUUUCAAUCUAUUUCUUCUGCAGCGUUUUCGGAGGACAGCUUGUUCUGCGGCUUCCAUCUGGAGUAGUAUAAGUCAAAAAGAUAGAUUUACUCCAAUGAUGUCCGAUGAGCUUGCCAGAAAUUAUAAUCAGAAAAGAGAGCUCAAUUUUUUUCUUCACCUCUGAUUUCACCGUUUUGUGUCUUGAGGUUGAACAAGUGACUCUCACUCGGUAACGGAUUAAUUUUACUGUGUUGUAUAUUCUUGACUAUGAAUGAAAGGAUUUUAUGUCUGUCCGGUCGACAAGUUAUGUUUAGUCAAACUGACAUUUUCUUAACUCGGGUCUUUCGAAAACAAACUACUGUAAUAUUUUGAUAACAACUAAAAGCCAGGACGUCUUAAAAUUUGAAUUGUAUUAUCGAGUAAUAUAAUCACCAGGAAUCAGUAAAACUGCAACAUAGGACGCAGAAUGCAUUUCAAACAAAAAAUGACGGUUGACAAAAGGAGAAAACAAAAAGUUAAAGGUCUGAAAGGUUUUUCCCGUUGAUGAAGUUGAUCACUCUAGUGGCAGUUUCUUCUAGUGCAGCGGUCACAACUGACAAGUUCAGCAAGAACUCUUCUGCCGUAGGUUUAUCUCCGUCCACUAGAUCAGUAACAGCUUUGAGGAAUAUGACUGGUACUUUGAGAAGAUCAGCCACGUAUGCUACAGCAGCACCCUGAAGAAUCCAGAGAGCCAGAUUAGUUUCAACACAACAAAGUAAAUUGAUUUUCUUGCUAUAUUCAGUAAUUCAGAGUUGUUAACAUGACACUACCUCCAUGUCUUUUAGCGUAGCAUCAUUGGCAAUGAUGAGUGACUCAUCUUGCGUGGACAUAUCCAACGAGUCACCAGUAGAUAACCUGCCAAUCUGAAACACCCCAUUAUCUGUGAAAAACUGAAAUAGUUAACCGAGCCAAGCUGCAUCUUGAGUCUACUAAAUACCUUCAUACUGAGUUCCUUGAGGAGAUUGGGUGUCGAGAAUGCCUGACGAAGGCCAACUCCAUACAGAUCAAACAUCUGAAGAGAUACAAAAACAUUGCUCAGAAACUGGCAAGAUGAAGCGGGGAAAAAGGAAUCGCUAGAGAUGGGAAAGAAAAAAAAAUGACCGGGAUAGGUAUUCUUCUAUCAUGGAAGACAACAUCAGAAACCAGGAAUACAUCACCAAUGUUGGCUCCUUUAACCUGCAAUGCUCAGCCAGUCAGCACUUUAGUUACAUGAAAACAAACCAAUUUCCACUAAAUGAAAGAUGUUCAUGAUAGCAACUCAAAUUUAAACAGAAUAUUUCACAGAUUGAAGCCAGUAAAUGAGUAACUAAAUCAAAAUCAAAAUAUGAUAAAGUAUGGUAUUCAGAAAGAGGAUGCCGGAAGAGAAGAUAAAGUACAUAUUGAGAAGGAAACAAAGUACCUUGAAGCCACCGCAGGUUCCGGCAUUGACAAUAAUGUCAGGUUGUAAUGCUUGGAUAGAAGCAAAAGUAAUGAGAGAAGCAGGAACAGUUCCGACACUAUCAAUCCCUGGAGAGAAAUAUCAGUUAGUUAAAGAAGAAAGCUGUAGCAUAAGCAAACACAAAUAUCAAGCUCGUUCGUUCAAUCAAACGCGUAACAUAGAAGAAGCUGAAAAGCUAGGUAGCAACGCACAGACUUGAAAGCAACCAUGAAAGAGAAAAACCUCCAGAGAUUUAGAGUAAGCAAAUAGAAAGAAAGAUGAGAGGUAAGAAAAGCAAAAGUGACCUAAGGCUGCAUCUCUUCCGGGGCAAACUACAUUGAUUCGAAGAUCAUUAUGCACGCCGUGAUACAGGACCCAGGGCAGCCCUUUACCAAGCCUGCGAUAUCAAUUAUCAUCAUCCAAAAUGUUUAAGUGAGAGAUCAAAUGCAAACAAAAAGCAGAAUCAGUAAUCGUAAAAGAAGAGCUCUUAACGGAGAAUCAGUAGCUUCAGAGAGUCCGAACUUGUUGACCAAAGGUAGAGCCUCCGCUUGCAUAGCUGCAGCUCCAUCGGAAGAAAUAAUAAAAAUAAAAAAAAGGGUAAGAAGAAGAAGAAAUCUCGAUCGAUUCGGAAGGGCCAGAAACGAGAGAUGUGGAAAGAGUAAAGUACCGAUGACGAAGACGACCGUGGAAAUGGGUCGAGUAGAAUCCGAUUGAGCAGGCAGAGGUAUGCCCAUGUCACUUGAUCCAUCUCCAUGAGGAGGAGCCAUACCUUCCCCUCUCUUUCCGAUUUUGAUUCCCCAGGAAAAAUCUGAGAAUCGGGAAGAAACGGCAGGAAACUCCGGUGAAUGAAUUACUUUUAUGGGAUUCCCUUCUUUUCUUUUCUUUGGACCCCUUUUGGUUUUUUUUUGGUUCUCUUUCUUUUGCCUUUCCAACUUCUUCAUUGUAUAAACUUAUAAUAAAAAUACAAUUAUUUUGUGAUAAUGACCAUAAUUAAUUAAAUUGGAAGGAUGAUCGAUCAUACGACUACAACUUCUGCUAAACAACUAGUAGAAUCUGUUGUUGUAAUCCAAAUUCUUCACCAUGUUUAUUUCCCACUUUAAUAGCUUUCAGAUAUCAUUAACAUACAAAAUAAAUAAAACGCAGAGUAAAAAACAUUAUGCAUUCCAUAAGAUAAUUAAAAAGAAAAAGAAAAAGCAUGAAAGCAUAUAGAUCACCACACCCACCACAAGAGGAAACCCCAAACUUUCAAUCUGUUCACAAGAAACCUCCCCCCCAUUUUCUUUUUUCUUCAGUGGGUUAAACUAGAGAGCGAAUGGGGUGGCUUUUCUUAUAUAUCCGAUAGCAAAUAAGGUUUUCCUCGUUUAUCUAAAACUUGGAGGGGGUAAAGUUAAGUAAACACUCUUAAACCAUCAUUUUCUUUCCCGUGUAAACACUCCACUAUGAUUAAUUUGAAGGCUCCUCCUCUGUUUGUGCCGGCAGUAAGGUAGCCGAGGUGAGCGGCUCGUGAACCACCGAGUUUGAUGAAACCGAUAUCGGAUUACCCUCUAGCUGCAACAUUAUACUUCCCAAUAUCUCCGCCAUUGUUUUCUUAAACUCUUCUUCCUUCACCAUCUUUCCAUCAUCCCCAUUCACCAUCUUCAACGCUUCCAUUAUCAUAUUGUCCAUCUUACAAUUCAAACAAACUUUUACUUAUCAACAUCCUUGAAACAAAAAAAUGUACUCCACUAAAAACAAAUACUACAGAAUUGAAUAACAUAUAGAUAUAUUAAGACGACAUUGUUUACCUGGGACACAGCGCCUAUUGGUGGUAAUGUAGCCGAUGGUGCAACUGUAUCCAGCACAGCUCGCAGAUACUCUUUAGACACCUUACCGUGACGGUCUUUUGGAAUUGUCUCCAUGGCAACGUUUAGUGCCUGCCACCAAAAACGUUCCUUAUAUAUCGUGACUUAUCAUUUAAUUUUCAAAGUGUUGCCUUCUCGUCGCAUCUAAGCUACAAGUAACAUACAUGACUAUAUGCAUGAAAGAUAUUACCUUAUCAAACUCGAAUUUAUUGGACAAGAGCCUCCUGACGCCGUUCCCAUCGAAAGUGUUUUCGCUGUGAGCCACAAUCACGGGCUGUUCAUUGAGACGUUGAGCCACUUUCUCCACGACUCUCUUAAAUGCUUCCAAGAAUCUCUCCUGAGACGCAGUCUUCUCCCUCUUAUCUUCUUCAUCAAGACAAGAGUCGACUAUUGGUUCUACUAUGUUGCUCAGUACCUAAAACAACAACUUUGAGUUUUAAGACUCACUGAUCCCUACAGCAACAUAUACCAUAAAAAAAACUUGGACACAAAUAUAGUUCAAUAGUUUAUUGGCUUUUUUUACAUAUGACAAUUGUGUAUUUUAAUAAGACUUUCUACGUAUAACUGAGAUAUUUAUAUAUUGCUUUCUACACAAAUGAAAAACUGAUCUGACCGAGUUACCUAUGCAAAACAAGUUAGACUUAUAUGCUUUAUAAUUAUAUAUCUAUACUAUUAAUUACGAUUGUAAAGUAUGUACUUCACGCCAAGAAAAUCCAAAUCAGAAUUUUUUUAUAUAUAUAACAGUAAAAUAAUUGCUAAAAACUAGCUUCAUCUAAGAAACAAGAUAUAUAGAAAAGUAGAUUUCAAAAGAAGAAAAAAAAAAAAGAUAAAGUGAAGUUAUAAAUUACCCAAGGAUCGUUGGGAGGCAUUCCAUGAUCAACAGAAAGAGACUGGAGAGCUUUGACAAUACAGUCACGGAGCGAUGCGUCAUCGCAAGUAGAGAGCUCUGAGUAGAUAGAGACUAUCUCGGUUUCGUAUCCAGGACCGUGAACAAACUCAGAGAGAUCCUCACCGUCCAUCCUGAGGAUGACGAUAGGAUCACGUUUCAGACCAGCAGCCAUACCCAACAAAAUGUCCGACAACACUUCUUUGAACUCGGUUUUGCUCACUUUCUCUUGACUUCCAUGAGUGAAUUCGUUUAAGACCUGUAAUAUCGUGGUGUUUAUUAUUAUAACGUUACAAACGAUGAAAAAAAUAAAUGUACGGAGGAGACAGAUAGAAGGUUGUUGGUUUUAUCUCGUUGUCAUCUUCUUUAAAUACACCCAAAAAUAAAAACAAAACCUAGCUAACGAUAAGUAAUUAAUGGAUACUGAUUUGUAACCAAUGAGAGUAAGAUUCGUAUCCGAAUAUAUUUACUUCCUGUUCUUGGAUAGUUUUUCAACGAGAGUAUCUCUAAAUUAAUUAAUUACUAGGAUUGAUAUCAUCUUGGUUUGAUCAAUUAAUCCACGUGAAUCAUGCGAAACAACACGACGUGAUUUUGGGGUUUCCACGUAGACUAGGUAAAAACAAUUACUACUACUUGUUUUGUGGUUCACACUAAUAGAGUUUUGGGAUAUCUUUUUAUUUGAUUGUUUGAAAAAAUAAGGGAUGGUGGUUGAUCUCAUCUCGUCAUAUACGGACUGUAUAGGGUUUUCAAAAGAAAAAUGUAAUGUGCGAUAUGAUGACGGAAAAAAGGUUCAAGAAAGUCUAGAGCAAAGAUGGCGACGCCGGCUAAACGCUUUAUAAAAGAUAAAGCUUUUGUUAUACAUUGAAGGCUAAAACAUUAGAUUAAAUAACGUUCACACAGUAACAAAAUUAAGUAGGUGAGGAUUCAUAAAGUGAUGUUUCGAGCGAGUUUGAAACGACAGCGGGAAGAGCGACACGAGGGGCUAUUUUUUGAGAUAUGGUAAGAGCCAAGAGGAUAAGGUCACCGACCAAAGCUAUUGUCAGUUUUUUUUAAAAACAAAUGGUUUAUUAUUUUGAUCUAUUUUACUCUUAAUUAACGCAAAACAUAACAAUGAAGAAGAAAGUAUAUAUAUCAUCCACCACGUAAGUAUCAAGAAGAUAACAUAAACAACUAUAGUAAAAUGUUGAGAUUCUCUUUUCUUUUCUUUUUUAUAACUUUGUCAGUAUUUAUAAUUAUAGUCAUUCCAUGUUUUAUUAUUUUCUUAUGACUACUAUGGCCUUUUGAAGUUCAUACAAAAUCUAUGCACAAAGUGCCGAGAGGUUCAACUCCAUCUCAUAAUCAAAGAAAAUUUUACGGCAUAGACUCCAGCAUGAAUAAAUUUUGUAUAAAAAUAUUUGUUUACAACUACAACUAAAAAGCAUCAUCUAUAUAUUUUAUAACUUAUAACCUUUUUGUUUUUAACCUUGUCAGUAAAGAUCAGUAAUAUAGCUAGGGAUACUGAUUAGAGGAAAAUGCUAACGUAAAUGCAAAUUAGCCGGACCAUAUAUAUCACGAAUAUAGAAAAGGUAGUGUUGAGAAAGAAGAAAAGAAGAUUACCUCGGAGUAGAUGUGAUCGGAAUCAGGGGAAGUGCCCUGAGCAGGCAAACCAAGAGCAGCGCCGAUAUCAGCAACGGCGGGUUGUAACUCAGUCACGGAGAGCUUACCAUCUUCGUCCUGGUCUAACUGUUGAAACUUUUGUUCCACAAACUUGUCGAACACUCUCUCGUUUUCCACCAGCUCAACUAUGUCCGAGCCAUCAAGUACUUGUUGCUGUUGCUGGUGGUUGUUGCUUUUCAUGUCCAUUUAUGGAAUCUUCACUUCUUCUUUCUUUCUCUUUACUUUCUUUUUAGUCCCGAGAGUCUUGUGACAGAUCUCGUGAUAGAAGCACGAGAAAAGGAAGAACAGAUACUUGACACACCCAAAAAAAAAGAGUUUUCUCUUCUUCUCUUUUUCUUUAACUCCCAAGUGUGUGUGUGUAAUGUUGUGGUUUGGUUCGGACUGCCUGUAUUCUUUAUAUGUGAUAUAGCGAUCAGAAAAAGAAAAAAAAAAAUGAGUUGUAUAAUCGCAAAAUCUUCAAACUAAAUUUAUUUACGGUAUUUAAUUAUCAAUUUAAUUAUAUAAUUUCAGUUCAUUUUAAAAACUUGUGGACUCGGCACCACCAAACGUAUAUUAACCAUAUGUCCAUAGCUAGACUAUUUCUUUGAAAGUAUAUUGUCUUUCUUUUUUAUUUCCCCACCUAACAUUACUAAAUUUAAUCAUCUCAUAAAGCGUAGGCUAAUAUAAUAAUAAUCCCUUCAAUGAACUUCCUUUCGCAUUUGUCCAUAUUUUUGUAACACGACCGCAUCUUUUCCUUUGAUUAUACAGAGAGACAAUGGCGAAGUAAGUAAAUCACAACUUCUUCUUAAUGAAAUAUAUAUUUUAAUUUUAACUAUAUAACUAUAUUAUGUUGGUAUUGAGAUGUAACAACAUUUGGCGCUUAUCUUUCAAACUCGACAUUUAAACCAGAUUACCUGAAUAGUAUAUUCAAACAUUUAUCCAUCCUCUGCCCUAAAUGAAACUAUUAUAUCUAGCUCACUAUUUGAAUGAGAACUCACUUACGUAACCAUUAGGUUUGAUAUUUGGCUUCAGUAACCGACAAGAACAUCAUAAACGACACGAUGUUUAGUCAUAAUGCCUGUGUCUUUUUAUCAAAUUGCCGGUUCCUUUUUAAUAUCUUUUUCAGACUAAUCUUUGGGAUCUUAUGAAUUUAUUUUUCGACUACUUGUAAUUAGUGACAUAAAGAACACUUCCAAAAAUCAUUAAAUUACACGAUCGUGACGGAUUAUAAAUAGAGAGACCGACGAACUAAGCAAACCCUCAGAAAGCAGAAGUUAAACAUCGAACAAUUUCGACCACUUAAUCUAAGUAUGUGUGGUCCGUACCGUAUGACACGGGCAAUAUCACUUGUGUGAAUGAAUACACGCCGGCCUAAUUAUUAUUAUUAUUAUUCGGAUUUUAGGAAAAAUGGAUAUAUAUAUAUUAGUAACCGAGUCGUCAUAUAUAAUUAUAGUUUUUCCAUAAAAUACAAGUAAUAAGCCAUAUAUGGAUCUAAAUAUAUUCUGACAAGAGCUUCUCACCCCCUUGAUCAGUGAUGACGUGGUCGUCGUCGGUGAAAAGUCGUGGGGACACUUGGUGAUAAAAUAAGGCUGGUGUGUUAGUCCGUCAUUGGUCGGCGCCUCUGUGCUGGCGUGAGCUUAAUCCAAAGUCAAAGCCGGCCUGCUAUAGUGCGGCUAUCUAUGGAUUAUGGCGGUUCAUUUCUUAUAAAUUAGUACAAAACUUGAUACUACUUGCGUUUCGAACAUAACUUUUGUUUCAGAAUUUAAGCUUUUGCCGACGCAUAAAAUAUUUAACUUGUUAUUUAAUCCAGGUAUUUUUUUUAAAAAAUAUAUCAGCGUAGAUAGAAAAGUUAAGCAUUGACAAAAAGAGAAAAAAUAUAAUAUGUCUUUUAUAUAACAGAAACAAAAAAAAAUUCGAGUUAUUUACAUGGGCGUUCUUUUGUAGAUGUAGAUAUAUACCUAAAAGUUAGAAGCGACGAGGAGUUGUUGGCAAUUCACUCUCCAGUCUCCUCCUCAAUGUAGGAUAGAUUCAAUGAUAAUCUUAACAAGAAAACAAAAAUGCAAAAGGACGAAAUCCCUAUAACAUCUUUCUUUUCUGGUACAAACUACAACAAAAAGUGACUAUGCCAAUAUAUCCUUUACUAAAGAAAGACGAAAAGAGAUCUCGAGAGAUCCUAACUCUACAUUUAAAAAUUUAUUACACGUUCAAAUUAAAAAAAAAUAUAUGGGGUAUUUUUUGGGAUUUUUCUCGUUAAUCUAUACCUUUAGGUGAAAUAUUUAAGUUUUUGCUGUCUAUCCAACUUUUCUUGUAUGAUUGAUUUAAACUACUUCGAGGAUGAUUAUGAAAAGAAGAAGGCAAAACAAACGUUAUUUCGUUUUCUUAUCAUUUCGAUCCUGGUAAACACAUUGGGCUCAUGCCAUAUUAUAUUGAAUGAUUUAGCCUCUUUUUUUCGGUUCAAAUUGAAUUAUUGGGCUUUAUCCAGAUAAAUUUUGAUUUAUGACCAAUAACUUAAGAAGAAACGGUAUUGGCUUAUUCAGGAUGGCUGUCGAUCUGAUAUUGGAUAUUAAGGCCCAAGAAUCCAAUAUGGUGCAACCCGUGAUAUUGGAGAGCAGUGAUCGCCAUGCUGUUUUGCUGAAAACGAGAGAUACAUCGUGUUGUUUUAAUUGGUUGCAACCGCGAACGAACGGGUUAGUUAAAGAAAAUGAUAGAUCCCAUAAAAUAAAAAAGAGAAAGGCCACACAGUUUACCUUUGGUGCAACAUUGUAGAGUUGAAAAUUAAACGACACGUUGUUUGGAUCGUGAAAACGGCGGGACCUGUUUUUUUUCCUUUUUUUUUGUCUUCUCAACAACUUGGAGGACAAUGCCCUCGCGGCUUUAUACGAAUUACGAAGGGUUGUUAAGCAGAUGGAUUAUGUUAGCCACUUGGCUACUUGACUUGACUUAAUCAGUGACAUCGACCUUUCAGGUGCUGUGUAGGUACGUAACAUGAGGUCCCACGUACAUUAUCUAUAUAUCAUUCUAAAGAGAUGUAUCUGCUCGCGCCAUCGACAAUCUCAUGUCAAGUUCGCUCGAAGUUGUUGUUAGUCUUCUAGUGACAUGAUUGAGUUUUUUUCUUUUCAAAUAAGAUAUCUAUAGUAAUUCAACGAUCUCAUCAGCUUAACACCUCCAAGACAGAGUCAUGUGAGUUCUUUCUUCUACAUGUCCCACUCUUGUAUAAGAAGCCCACGGUUUCUAUCAAACCAAAUGGAAUUGGUUGGUAUAUAUAUUUCAUUGUUUUGAUCAUCAUCAUAUCCUAUCCAAAGCAAAACAACUUCUUCAGCCAUAACCAAAUAAGCUAAACGAGAACUCCAAGCUGAAUUAAUAUUUUUUUUCCAAGAUCCAUCAGCAGAAGAAAUGGGCGUGUUCCGAGGACUUAUGGGUGCAAAGAAGAUCUUUCAAGGCCGAUCAAUGGGAGCUUCAACACCAAAAGGGUUUCUUGCAGUGUAUGUUGGGGAAAGCCAGAUGCAAAGAUACAUAGUGCCAGUCUCGUACUUGAGCCAGCCUUCAUUCCAAGCUUUGUUGAGUAAAUCGGAACAAGAGUUUGGGUUUGACCAUCCAAUGGGCGGCUUGACCAUCCCUUGUCCCCAAGAAACUUUUAUCACUGUCACUUCUCAGCUUCAUUAGUUCCAGUUCACAAAGAUCACAUACAUAUAUGUAACAAUUUUAUUUUAGGUCAUUAUUAGAUAGAUGUCCAAGAUAAUUUUGAACCCUGUGUAAUUACUGACGGAGAAGAUUUAUAAAUUACCAUUUUUGCACAUCUUUCUCCUUCCAAGGCUUCAACUUUGCAAUUUGCUCCUUUGAUUUUGGGGGAUCUUUCACAACAUGCUGAUUAACGACUAGUUGUUAAUCCGCUCCAUGACAUUGACACGAGCAUAUAAAAACGAUAAACAAACUCAUAAUUCUACGAAAUUUUCAUAACAGCCUAGCUUACUAAUAAACAAGACCAAAAAGAAAGAAAGAUAUAACAGAGUCCAAUUAUCAAAAAUGAAAAGAAAAAAAAAACAGAGUCAAAGGUCAACGCCUCAUUUGCGUGUUAUCUCCGAUUCAAACAAUCCAGAAAAAAAAAUGAUAAACAGAAAUAAUCCAAAAUGUUGUCUCUUCUUCUUCCUCUGAUCUCACUCUUAAUCCAAAUCCAAUGUCUCACCGUUGUUAAGUCGCAACCGGUUCCGUUAAACCAAAUAUGCUCAAACGUCACAGGCAAUUUCACCGUUAACACCCCUUACGCCGUCAACCUCGACCGUCUCAUCUCCUCUUUAUCAUCUCUCCGACGUAACGAUAACGGAUUUUACAACAUCUCAGUUGGAGACUCCGACGAAAAAGUCAACUCAAUCUCACUGUGUAGAGGCGAUGUCAAAGCUGAUGAUUGUAUCAACUGCAUCGCAUUGGCUGGAAAAAAACUUGUCACAUUGUGUCCGGUUCAGAAGGAGGCGAUUAUCUGGUAUGACAAAUGUACGGUUAGGUACUCAAACCGGACUAUCUUCAAAAGACUGGAGAUUUUCCCUCAAGCAAGCAUAACCGGGACAAGAAACUUCACCGGAGAUCGUGGUGGUUGGGAGAAAUCAUUAAGGGGUUUACUCGAAGGGCUUAAAGACAGAGACUCUGUAAUUGGUCGGAGCAAGAAGAACUUUGUUGUCGGCGAAACGAGCGGGCCGUCAUUUCAGACAUUGUACGGUCUUGUUCAGUGCACACCGGAUAUUUCGGAAGAGGAUUGUUCCUACUGUUUGUCUCAGGGUAUUGCAAAGAUCCCGAGCUGUUGUGAUAUGAAAAUGGGUAGCUAUGUCUUGUCUCCUAGCUGCAUAUUAGCUUAUGCUCCGUGGAGAUUCUAUGAUCCAGUGGACAUUGAUGAGCCGAGCUCAGCACCUGCGACACCAUCACAGCCUCCGAAGAACGAGACGAGAAGUGUCACACAAGGUAGGUUUGCUACUUUUUUAAUGGAUUUGAAAGUUUUUGAACUCUAGGAUUUAAUUAAGACUUGCGAGUAAGUAUGUUUUGGAUUCCCAUUGUGGAGAUUUGAGUUUGUUACAUAAUAAAACGGGAUUAAUCAUUAAGGGUGUAUAUUUUUGAACAGGGGAUAAAAACAGAGGGGUACCUAAAGCUGUCAUCUUUGCUGUUGCGUCAGUUGCUGUUGUUGUCUUUGUCAUAGCAUUAUUAGUCGUUUACCUAAGGCGGAGAAGAAAUAAAACGAAGAUUAAGAUAAACAAUUCAGAACACCAACAUGAAAGUAAGCUAAAUCUCAAUCUCCUCUGUUUUUCCUCUGUUUUGCCUUUGUUUCUGACGUGAUUUCUAACUCCUUUUAUCAAUACAUAUAUGGUUUAUCAAUUUUUUUUUUUCUUUUUCUAAAAUACAGAUGGAAAUAUUAGCAUGGAUUCCAUGAAAUAUAAUUUCAGUAUAUUACAAGAUGCAACGAGUCAUUUUUCACUGGAAAAUAAACUUGGAGAAGGUGGAUUCGGAUCAGUUUAUAAGGUAAUCUUACAAACUAUAGAAUAACCUGCUGUCAUGUUUUGUAAUCUGUAGUGAUCAUCAUAACAUCGUCCUACAUUAUCAUCAAUAGGGUGUACUUUCAGAUGGACAAAAAAUAGCGGUGAAGAGGUUGUCCAAAAAUGCACAACAAGGUGAAACCGAAUUCAAGAACGAGUUUUUGCUGGUGGCUAAGCUUCAACAUCGUAAUCUCGUGAAGCUCUUAGGUUACUCUACUGAAGGAACUGAAAGGCUUCUCGUGUAUGAGUUCCUACCACACACUAGCCUCGACAAAUUCAUCUUCGGUACACAUUCUACGUAUUCUUGAAAACCAUUAAAUUCUUCUAUAGUUUGUGUGUAUGAUCUCAAGUGUUUGAGUGUUUCUAUAGAUCCGAUCCAGGGUAAAGAAUUGGAUUGGGAAAUUAGAUACAAAAUCAUUGGAGGUGUAGCUCGAGGACUUCUCUAUCUUCAUCAAGAUUCUCGUCUCCGGAUUAUUCACCGUGAUCUUAAAGCUAGUAACAUAUUACUAGACGAGGAAAUGACCCCGAAAAUCGCAGAUUUCGGAAUGGCUAAGCUUUUCGAUAUCGACCACACAACUCAGCGCUACACGAAUAGGAUCGUGGGGACUUUGUAAGUAGUAAAAACGUAACAUUUAUAUUGUACUCAUCAAACUCGAUUAUGAUCAGUCAUUUGGUUUAAACAGUGGAUACAUGGCUCCGGAGUAUGUGAUGCAUGGACAGUUCUCUUUUAAGACAGAUGUUUACAGUUUCGGAGUUUUGGUUCUUGAGAUCAUCAGUGGUAAGAAAAACAGUUGUUUCAGCAUUGAGGAAAGCAUGGAGGAUCUCAUUAGCUUUGUGAGUAUAUUACUUGCAAAAAUCUUGAGCUUUGAUCAAUGACUGUUAAUUCACAUCACGAAGUUCCAAUGUUUUUGGUUAUAAGGCCUGGAGAAAUUGGAAGGAAGGUGUUGCAUUGAAUCUUGUGGACAAGAUGUUGAUGACAAUGUCGAGCUAUUCAGCGAAUAUGAUAUUGAGAUGCAUAAACAUUGGUCUUCUUUGUGUCCAACAGAAAGUUGCAGAGAGGCCAAGCAUGGCUUCUGUUCUUCUGAUGUUAGAUGGACAUACCCUUGCUAUUUCAGAACCUUCAAAGCCUGCGUUUUUCGCACACAGCAAUGCGGUAUCGGAUAGCUCUUCUUCUUUAGGACAUAAUGCAAAAACCUCAAAUUAUAAUUCCAACACUGAGUUGUAUCCUCGGUGAGUUUGUCUUGAAACUGAAAUAAAGAUACUCAUUGAUGAUGACUAAUUGAUGAAUCAUGGGAUUGAUAAUUAGAUUUGAGUCCAACUCACUGUAAGUGAGGAAAAAGAGUGUUACAAGUCUCUGUUUCACUUUCAAGGACAGAUGUUUCUAAGUCAUCUCGUCUCUUGAAGAAAACUAAUUGGGGGGGAAAAAUGUACAAAAUCAAAGAAUAAAAAGGUUAUUUGAGUGAGUCAUGAUCAGUUGAAUCGAGAAGCAAGAUCAAUGAAUAUUUCUUCACUGCAAGGGAUUGUGAGGCCACCCAUUGGAUGAUCAUAUCCAAAUUCCUCCUCUGCCUUUCUUAGUAGAUCUUGAAAUGAAGGCUGGUUCAAGUAAGAUAUGGGAACUACAAAUCUCUUCAUCUUUCUUUCUCCUACGUAAACGGCUAAGUAGCCCUUUGGAACAUCAAGAGAGCUAGAUGAAGAGGAUGAGAACAGUUUUGCUUGUCGGAGAAUUUGCUUGGAUGAUUGCAGCACACGAGGGACCCUGAUCGCCAUGGAUUGUCUUGUGUGAUUGUUGGAAACUGCAGGUUUAAUUCUUUACUGGAAAAAAUGUGAGAACUUGCAGAGCUUGAAGGACUCAGUGAUGACUGAUGAGUAUAUAUAGAUAAGAACAUUACUUGAAGAUAACUCUUUAUUGGUUUAGAAAAGUUUCAACUCAUAAUAAACACCAACAAGCACAUGGCUUUGCCGGACCACGGCAUGAUAAGUAAGGGACCCCUACUGAUCAAUCUUCAUGAUUUCUGAUGUGAAGACACAAAUCAGUAUGACCACUUGUUUGUUAGAUAGGCACUAUAACUAGUCAAGUUUUCAAUUCUUGCCACAGAAAUUUUGAAGGCUUUUUGUGACUUUGUCUGCAUAUAAUCAAGUCAUGGGGUCCUGUCUUUUUGUUAUCAUUAUGACUUAAUCAGUGAUAGAGACUUAUGGUUCAUUAGGUACACAACUUCAGGUCCCUACAUAAUCUAUAGAGAGAUUUGGCAUGUGAUGUCUUGGAGACCAAUAAGCCCCAAUGAAAUUAUCAUGUAGGACAUCAUUAGAUACUAACUUCUCAGACACCAUUUAUUGAUUUGUUCUUGGUUUAGUAUCUCCAAUCCAAAGCCAUGUGCCUCUGUAAUGGAAAGAAAAAAAAACCCCCCAAAAAAAAAUACUUAAUUUCUGAUAAUUUCGUUUAUAUAACAACUAACAGGAAACCCUUUUUGAUUCACAAACUAUUAUUAAAGAUCCAAAACAAAAUUUAAAAGCUUAAAGCUUUCUCCAAGAACAAGAAAGGUUAUUAUAGCUUAAACCCACCAAGCUUCAAGACAAGCACAACAACAAAAAAUGGCUUUUCUGAGAAGUUUAUUGAGGGAUAAGCAAAUAAUGCUAAGGUCAUCAUCAUCGCCGUCGACACCAAGAGGAUUCAUGGCGGUUUACGUUGGGGAGAACGAUCAAAAGAGGAAGAGAUAUGUGGUGCCGGUAUCAUACUUAAACCAGCCUUUGUUUCAAGAACUGUUAAGUAAAUCAGAGGAGGAGUUUGGUUUUGAUCAUCCUAUGGGGGGCUUAACCAUACGUCCAUACCAUGCCAUGAAUCUUUGUUCUUCGCAGUCACAUCUCAGAUUGGAUGAAUUACACAAAGAGCAUUCCUUGGUCUUAGACAAAGUUACAUUAAUUAUGUAGAGAUAUUUUAGAUGAUCAGUUCCCCUGGAAAUAUAUUGUACAACUGUUUCCGUGAGAGGAAUAUACAUACAUAGAGCGUGCUUAUGAUUCAUUGCAUGCAGCCAUGCAUGAUAAUUAAUGCAUUUCAAUUAUAUAUAUAAAAAGUAGUGUUUUUUAGAAAAAUUAUACAUAUGUGUCGUAUAUAAUUAUUCUGGUUGGUUGUUAUUUCCCUUUAGUUUCCAAAGAACAAAUAUGUAUGUACAUAUGUGACUAAUCAAUUUCAUUCCUUCCUUCUGACAACUGUAAUAACAAUAGUGAGAAAACUUGUAUUUUAGUUUUUUAUUUUAUGAUCAUCAUAUAAAUUAUUCAAAACAACAUUAAUGAGAAAAAUACUUUAAUGGGCCCAAAAAUAAAAUCCCAAGCCCAAAGCCUUAACUUAAAACGCCUCGCAUGCCACGCGCCCUUUAAGUAUAAUAGGUUGCGCGUGGGAGAGAAGUUGGCACCGUUUCUUUAUAUUUGCUUACGUCAUAUUUCCUGUAACGUCUUUUAUUUGUUUGCUUACGUGACGUCUUUGUUGUAACGUCUUUCUUUGUUUCCUUUAUUUAAUUUAUGAUCCUUUAUUUUUGUCCUUUUUGCUAAUUAGUAACCCGACGUAACUAAAACAUCCCAGUUAGUCCGGUUCAGCUAGCUACCAUUUCUUUGAUACGUCCCUCCGGUUUAUUAUUGAAUAUGCAUGUAUAUAUUUAUAAUGUUGUUUUUCGAACUAUAGAGCUAAUUAUGUUAUCUUUUCAUUGCAUUUUUAUACGUUUGCCCUUGUCCAACUAAUAUGUAUGUAUUAACAUUUUGUCACUCCACCGAAACAUGAAAAAGAUUCAAAGUUUCCAAGUGAAGAGGAGGAGAAGGGAGUGGGGGGGCCAAUGUAAGAAGAACCAAUUAAGCAUCAAUAAAAAUGGAGUCACAUGCCAAAUUAAGUAGGAAUACGACCUCAAAACCCUACCUCCAAAUCCACAUUUAGCAUUAUACAAAAUUAUUAUUGACGUCUAAAAGAAAGCUUAGUCCUAUCUUGUGCCGUCUCGAUCAUUUUCUCUAGGUGCCACUCUGUUUUUUCUUUUCUUUUUCUUUCCCUGAUGUUGCCCCUUUUGAAAUUCAACUGUUGAUCAUCGUACAAGAAAAAAAAACUUAGCCAAUCUGAUCUAAUAAUUUCCUGGGUCCAAUUUAUCCUGCAGCCCAUGUGAUGAAAAGACCAUACAUUUCACUUCAGAUCUUGCCACCUAUAUUUUUUUCUUGACUUCGAAACAGAGCUCAUGGCCGCUUCUCCUUCACGUGAAUGUUUUAGAAAUUUAGAUUCAUCAGUCACUUCCUAUACGAAACAUAUAUGGAACUUUCUGAGGUUUUCUUUUUGUUUUAUUUUUUUAAAAGAUUUGAUUUGACACAAGUUUCGAGUAAAUAUGCACUGCAUCUAUUUCACUUGGAAGAGUUUACGAGCAACAAAGAGUGUGUUAGACCAGAGCUACUCUGCUUUAUUUUGGGGAAACCGAAACAGAGUUGUACAGACAGGACAGGACAGGACAGCACAAGGGUUCAUCGAUUCUGGAUUCUCGCCGUGAAAGUAGAAAAAAGAGAUUCGAGAAAUUCCUAAAGUAAGCCAGACAAGUUUCAAGUCUAGUAAAAUCUGCAUUAAAGAAGUUGCAUUUUGCUCUGUAAAAAUGGAAAGUUGUACAAAAGAGGACAGUUUGAGGGAAGGAGGAGGAGGCAAGAGUAACAUGGGUCUUUCAUGUGCUUGGUCGAGACGAGAGACAUGUCGUUAUCAGUCCGUAAGCUGAAAUUGUCCCUUCAAAGAUUCGUAAUUUCCCUAAUCCUCUUCUCGUUUUCACGGAAGUUUUUUCACAACAAAUCUCGUUCGCAGAACAUGCUAGCCUCUUUCCCUGACAACGACCCUAAACCCUCUCUUUCUCUCUCUCUGUCGGUUUUUGUGGUCGAUAAAAGGAAAAAAUAAAACCAUGAUUCUGAUUCACUUGUUGCUUGAUGUGAUAGAUUUAGGAAGUAACUCACAAAGUUUGACUUGAGUUCAAAGUUUACUUUGUAGAAUUGCAUAGUCUUGGGUUACGUGUGAAAGAAGCAACCCACGCUAAUUAUCUUGUUUUGGGAUUUAUGGAACAUUCAAGUUAUGUACAUAAUGAUAUACUUCAUCAGUUUCAUAAAUUUACAUGUUUUAUACCCUUUACACCAUAUUUAACAUUUUUCCUACAAGACCUAAUAUACUCUUACUCUUCUUUUACAAGUAAAUAUUAGUUUAAAAGAAGUUAUUUCCACUCAAAAUAAUGGAAGUACAAAACAUCUAUAGUGAAAGCAGAGUUUCGUUUUAAAAACAUCAACUAUUAAGAAAGGGACUAAUUAUUAUUAUUUAUCUUCAAUCUUCAUUACGACCGAAACGACGAAAUGGAUUAGGAAGGGGAGGAACAUCACAAAUCAACAAAGAUGGGAAGCUCGAGAUCGUGAGGCUUAACAUGUUCUUUGUCCCAAACCUUUUACGACCAGAAACAAAGAUCUAAUAAAUGCCCAUUGUCCAUAAGCAUAUAUAACAAUAUUACAACAUGGUCAAAAGUAUUGUAAACAUAUACGGUCACUUGCAGACAAGACUUUAGACGAAUCUUACUUAGCGUUUUUUUUUUUGUAUGCAUUUGUUACAAUCUGUGUCUCAAAUAGAUAUUUUGUAACCAAUUGGUUGUAAUUAGAUAAUUUUGUUUGCUGGUCAAGAUCAUAAAAUUGAUUUCUAUUGGCUGCAUUAUUCGUUAUUUUUGGGGAGUUCAUCACAUGACAGUUGUGAAUCUCGCAAUUUGUCUAACCUUUACGCCCUAAUUAAACAAAAAAAAAAUUAAAAAAUCCGGCUACCUGAACGUAGCUAUUGCAAAAUUUAGAUAUGGUACGUAGUUGAAAAACCGCGUGAUUAUUAGUCGUCUAUUUUAGGUUAAAAGGAUCUUGUCACAUAAUUAAAGAAUCUAAUGUACUGUUUGACACUAAUAGAACUUGCUUGUAGUCCGGUGAUAUCGCUCUGUUGGUGUAGACGACGGAUGGAUCGAUCAUAAUCCACCGUGAUGUAAACAAUUAACUAUACAUUUUGUCCACUUACACGGAAGCUGCUAGUCCAUGCGAUUGGUCCAAAACUACAUGCACCUUAAACAUUAAAAAUUUCGUGCUGGAAGGAUUGAAUACAACUAUGUAGAGUUAUUUAAAGUUAAACUAGAGUCUAUAGGUGAGUAAUUUUAUGCGUGCUUAACCACAGAGUAUGUUUAAGGAGGAGUACAUAUAAAUUUGUACUUAUAGAGUACAUAUUCAGAUACAUGUUCGUACGUAAUUAAGGAAAAUAUAGUUACCACACAUUUGAUAUUUUUCUUCUUCUUUCCCUAUUUAUGAGAAUAACUGUUGUGAGAGAGAAGAGAGAAGAGAGAGGAGGGACCAUGGUGUCUUGGGGAGGACCAACAACGAAAUUAAAUCCCAAUGGGUUUGGAUCCCACACUGUCACAUGCCUCUCUACGUCCCUUCUCCUGCUUUUUUCCUGCUCCUUAAAAAUUAAAAAAAAAAAAAAANNNNNNNNNNNNNNNNNNNNNNNNNNNNNNNNNNNNNNNNNNNNNNNNNNNNNNNNNNNNNNNNNNNNNNNNNNNNNNNNNNNNNNNNNNNNNNNNNNNNNNNNNNNNNNNNNNNNNNNNNNNNNNNNNNNNNNNNNNNNNNNNNNNNNNNNNNNNNNNNNNNNNNNNNNGUUUGUAAUACUUAUAAAGAUAAAUCGAAUAAUCAUUUGAGGUGUAUCAUUAUUUUAGAAGAGUCGUCCAACACGGCACUAACCAAAAUUUUAGAUUAUUGAUUGAUCAUUUGAUCAAACAUAAAUAUGACAUAAAAUUUCGGAUAACCAAGAAAAUUAAAAUAAAACUGUUGCUUUUAGGAUCCUAUCCUCAUCCUCCGAGUUCCUCCAUAAAUAACACCUUUCGCCACCACUCUCUCAUCAAAAACUUCUCACUUCUCCAUCAUUUUCUUCUCUUCACUCUCUCUCUCUCACUCUCAUAGAAAAAAGAAAAGAAAGAAAGAUAGUAGCUAGUAAAGCUAAAGAAUGGCGGUAAAGAGAUCUUCGAAACUAACACAAACAGCAAUGCUAAAGCAAAUCCUCAAGAGAUGCUCGAGCUUAGGCAAGAAACAAUGCUACGACGAGGAAGGCCUCCCUCUUGACGUACCAAAGGGACAUUUCCCGGUUUAUGUAGGCGAAAAGCGUACGAGGUACAUCGUACCAAUCUCUUUCUUGACUCACCCCGAGUUUCUCAUCCUUCUUCAACAAGCAGAGGAAGAGUUCGGCUUUCACCACGACAUGGGAGGACUCACUAUUCCUUGUGAAGAAGUUGUUUUCCUCUCUUUAACAUCCAUGAUCAGAUGAGAUAGAGAUCCACUUUAAUCAUUCAUAUUAUGAUGAAGACUAAAGAUUCUUUUGCUUCUUUUUGCCUUUGGAUAAAUCAUAUAUUAUCCAAAUGGUUCUUGGUUUGUUUUUUUCCGGACUAAAACCUGCAAGAUCCACCCAAAACAGAUCAUUCCCUACAUGGAUCAUGUAAAUCUCGGGUUUUAGUUCGUCAAUUAACGCCCUAAAUGGGGUUUGUAUUCGAUGCAAUGGCCUUUUUUCAUUUUAUGAGCUGAUCAGUGGUGGCUCGCACUAAUAGAUGAUUAAUUAGUGCAAGUUUGAUAUUGGCCAUUCUUUCUUUCUUUUUUUUAUAUAGUUCGGGUCUAUGAUCGUUCGAGUUUUUUUGAAACUAAGAAAUGUUUGAUCUUUAUAUGAAUCUUUUAUUGGGGUUUCCUGAUCACGUAUGUAAUAAGUAUGUUUUGCCUUUGUAUGCGAGCUGAUGUAUAAAACUAAAAUUUCCAUCCUAAUUUUGUUCAUAUAUUAUUAAAUUAUGUAUCAUAAUUAACAUCUGAACAUAUCAUCCACGACCACGAGAAACAGACGAAUAAAUCGAUCCAACCCGCAACACAAUAUCAUCAAUAUUCAAAUUAAUGCUGCUGCAAAAAUUCAUGUACGUCAACUUGACGAAAACAAAGAUUACGGUUAAUUUGUUUGAGUUGAGACACAAAACCUUGUAUAAAAAGACCAAACAUGCAUGAAUAUUGGUUUUGUAUAUAAAUAAUUAACAUAUAGUUUUUUAAAUCCGCCUUUGAGUUUUGAGUUUUGACUUUAACGUGCAUAUAUAGUAGGCAAACAGAUUAUGAGCGGAUUACUUCUUAUAGGUGAAGCAAAAGCAUAUUUGUCUCUAGUAAUUAUAAGUUGGUCCUAUAUAUACUAUUAAUAUGGAUUGGAAUUAAACUUAAUAAUGCAUUUAGUUUUUUUUUUUUUGUUAAAAAUAUAUAAUUAUUAUCUAUAUAGAAUAAAUAUUAUAAAAUUGAAUGCACUUACCCUUCUCUCUUUUUCUUUUCCUACGAGCCACAAAUCCUAUAUGACAGCAACUACUCUUCUUAAUGCACAUACCUUUUUUUGUUUUUUUUUUGCCUUUUAAGUAGGGAUUUACUCUCUUUCUCUUCUCAAGAAUAUCUUUUGGUUCGUACCAAUUUUUUUUUAUUUUUAUGUUUGGAAUAAACUGCACCCACAAGUACCAAUAAUAUCUAUCCUGCCGCAUCACUCAUUUUGGUACAUAUACAUACAUACAUAUUGGUAAGUCGAAUACAUAGAAAAAGAAAAGAAAAGAAGACGAUCGAACUUUGUCGAAUAUGUAAUACGUACGUAGUUAUAUAUGUACACACAACAAACAAAUCGGUUGAAGGACUAAUUAACCCAUGACUACUUGAGUAUACAAGGAAUUAUAAAGAAGAAGCACUAAUAGUCUAAUUCUCAAUCACCCAUUCUUUAUAUAAAUACAGUAUAUAUAUACAUGAAAAUAUCGUUGUACUCGAAAUGCUUGGGUGAUUGAGAAUUUAAGGUAAGUUCUUUUAGGGUUGAAAAUCAAAGUAGAUUUAUAAUAUAACUGUUCUUUAAAUUUAAUAAAAUCGUCAUAUAUAUAUAUAUAUAUUUAACCCGAACGAUAAAGGAAAAAAAUAGAGAGGCCAUUUCACGAAGUGAUGGCACAUCCAAACCAUGAAUGAAGGGACGAGGAGAAGAAACAGCCAAAGAGGUUUGGAUCUCAACUGGAUGAGUAAACUACAAAAAGAAGAAUCUUUUUUAAUAUUGUCCCUUUCCGUACGAAAUUAAAACUAUUUGUCUAGGAAAAUUCUUCGAAGCUGCAUUUGUCAUUUGUCAAUUUCCACACAACAGAAUAGUUUCAUUUUUUUUUGGGUGGUUUUUAAUGAUUUUCAAUCUUUAAUCCCUAAUAUUUUUGUUACUGGCUGGAACUUGUGGGAGCUCCACAAAUUUGGAUAAUACCAACGCUGAAAAAUAAAAAUAACACAUAUUAAACCAGUUGAAACAUUGAUAUUUUAACAUUCAUACUUACUCAUCUUUUUAACUUGUACAACGGUGUAAGUGCUCUUUUUUCAUGUCUUUUCUUGUCUGACUUUUUUCAUGACAUUCUCCUUUAACACUACGGUUCUGUUAUCAAGAAGGUUCAGUCAUUCUACUAUAGUUGCAGCCAACAAGUUAGGAUCACAGACAGUGUGGAGCACAAGGGUAAAGUUGUCAACUACAAGCAACUGAAAACCAAAUAUAUAUAUAGAACAUGGACGAUGAUUGAUUGACGAACAUAAUUAAACAGACUAUGUCAUUCAUUGUAAAAAAGUCUCAAAGCAAACCAGUUAGAACACAACUACAACAGGUUGAAGACAAACGGGAUGGGGAACUGAUUGAAGCGAGGAGCACGGAUAACUAAUCUUACAGAAACAUGAGAUUCUCAACUUGAGCAGAGGAGACAGAGUCCGCAAGAAAACGUACACAAUGCUCUGUUUUGUCCCUUGUAUUUCAAAAGUUCUCAUACUAUCUUUCUUCAUAUCAUAGUAGACAACACUUGGUAGGGAUGAAUGUAGAUAGGUUGGUGUAAAUAUAAUCUCACCAGUGUCAGCGUCGGUGGUGCUAAAAUUCCGAAACCUAUGAAAAUGAGGGUCUGUUGUGGAGGCAACUAAAUUAGGCAAAACAAAAGUCUUCUUGGACCAUUCCUUAUUAGAAUCAUCUUCUAGAACCCACAAACCAAUGAUUCCACUGAUUUUCUUUUCAAAGAAGAUAAGAGCCAGCUUUCCCUCGUAGUUGGUCAACUUUGAAAAGCCACGAAAGGUGCAAGGUCCUUUGAUAAGAUGAAGUUUUUCAGACCUAACAUCAAAACUCAUGACUGCAGACUCAUUUAGGUUUGUGCCAAUAAAAGCUAGGUAAUACAAAAUACCAUUGAUGCAAAGUUGCUCACUUACAGGAGAGUGAGGAGGAAUAAUGCCUUGAAUCAUCCUCCAUGCAUAACUCCCAGUACUUGCCAAUGUCAAAACCAGUAUCUCCUCAGCUAAACCGCGUCUGUUUCUCAGCACAGGCGUUCCUCCCAAGAUACACAGAGCAAUCUGAUCAGGAUUUUAACUGGAAAUCGUUUGAGUAUCUCCAUCAUCAAAUCAACCGGAAGUGACUCUGAAUUUACAAGCUUCUUCCUCUGUGUUUCCAUGGCAGAGAAACGUAAGCGACAACGAUUAUCUCUCUUUAGCGGCCACUUUGCCAAUGCAAUUGUUUGGUGAAAACCCUAAAUAUUUAAUGAGUAACGUUUUAUAUUUCCUAAAGUUUUUACUUUGUUGUGACGACAAAAACGCCAAUCAUUCCAUCACUAAGUUAUUAAUUAAAAAAUCUUCUUUAAAAUAAAAACUUAUCGAGUUUAGUUUUAAAAUUAUCUUCAUAAACACUUUUGUUAUAUUAAAAAACUUUUACGUUUUCGGAAAAAAAAAAAAACAAUACGUAAUAAAUUUUGAUUUAUCUUAUUGUUAUCAAAUUUUCAAAAUAAAAUAAAAUAAUAUAUAGCACAUUUUCUAAUUAUACAUUCAAUAAUAUUUAUGUUUCUGACUCGCUUUCACCAAACGAUUCCGAUUCCUUAACCUUUUUAUAGUCUAAUUCGAUAGAAGAUUGUAAACAUCCAAAUUCUUAACGUAAUCCAUUAAUUAUACUAAUCACAAACUUUAUAUAUUCAUUCACUCGAAGCCUCCUAAAACCUCUCGAUUUAAAACUAAGUUAUUUCUCGGUGUCCGUUCAUGGCCUUCUCCGUAGAAAUCUCGUCUCUCUCCCCUUACCCUUUGCCCGCAAACCCUAGAAGACUUUCUCAACUUGCUAUUUCCCCUUCCUUCUUCAAACCCUACGUUUUCAAAACUCUUGGUCGUAUCUCUGUUUCAUGCAGACGCCCCCUUUACCCCGUUUUCUCGGCGAGAACACAGGCAACUACUGACCUAGGCGACGAUGACAAGCCUCACGAAGAAUGUGGGGUUGUCGGGAUCUAUGGAGACCCUGAAGCUUCCCGUCUCUCUUACUUGGCUCUUCACGCGUUGCAACACCGUGGCCAAGAAGGAGCAGGAAUCGUAGCGGCUAAUCAAAACGGUCUCGACUCAAUCACAGGGGUUGGAUUAGUCUCAGACGUGUUCAACGAGUCUAAACUAAACAAUCUUCCUGGCGACAUAGCGAUAGGGCAUGUCCGGUAUUCAACUUCUGGAGUCUCUAUGCUCAAGAAUGUUCAGCCUUUCAUCGCUACCUGCAAACUAGGAUCAUUCGCAGUAGCGCACAAUGGUAAUUUCUUGAAUUACAAGCAACUGAAGACAAAGCUCGAAGAAGACGGUUCGAUCUUCAUCACAAGUUCUGAUACCGAGCUUGUUCUUCACCUGAUCGCCAAAUCUAAGGCCAAGACGUUUCUUUCGAGGCUCAUCGAUGCUUGUGAGAAGCUUAGAGGUGCUUACUCGAUGGUUUUCGUCUUUGAAAACAAGCUUAUAGCUGUUCGUGAUCCGUUUGGGUUUAGACCACUUGUGAUGGGCAGAAGAAGAAACGGAGCAGUUGUUUUUGCCUCUGAGACUUGCGCUUUGGACCUGAUUGAUGCGACUUAUGAGCGUGAAGUGUAUCCCGGUGAGAUUGUGGUCGUGGAUGGAACCCAUGGAGAUAGUUCUAUGUUCAUGAUCUCUCACCCUGAACCCAAACAGUGCGUUUUUGAGCAUGGUUACUUCUCACAGCCCAACUCAAUUGUCUUUGGCCGUUCUGUGUACGAAACCCGCCGCAAGUACGGUGAGAUCUUAGCAACAGUGGCACCUGUCGAUUGUGAUGUGGUCAUUGCAGUGCCAGACUCGGGAACAGUGGCCGCUCUUGGAUAUGCAGACAAAGCUGGAGUGCCAUUCCAGAUUGGUCUUUUGCGGUCACACUAUGCUAAACGCACGUUUAUAGAGCCGACUCAGAAAAUCCGUGAUUUUGCAGUGAAGGUGAAGCUAUCUCCUGUCCGAGCAAUCAUUGAAGGGAAGCGGGUGGUAGUAGUGGACGACUCUAUUGUCCGCGGUACCACAAGCAUGAAGAUAGUUCGGUUGCUUAGAGACGCUGGGGCGAAGGAGGUUCAUAUGAGAAUAGCAUUGCCGCCGAUGAUUGCAUCGUGUUACUACGGAGUGGACACUCCGAGGAGCCAAGAGUUGAUCUCUAGUAAGCUGAGUGUCGAGGAGAUCAAGAAGCAUAUUAAUUGUGAUUCUCUGGCCUUUCUACCAUUAGAUUGUUUAAAAGAGGUCUAUGGACCGGUCGGGUCAAAAAGGUAUUGCUAUGCCUGCUUUACAGGUGAUUAUCCCGUGACCACAACAGAGACCGAGGAGGAGGAAGCCGACGUUCUCUGAAUCAACAAUCAGCAUCCUCUCCCUCUCUGCUUUACCUUUAAACUUUGAGAAGUUUUAAAUUACAUGUUGCAUUGCUCUCUAAUAAUUUUAUGUUCUAAGAAAUAAUCGGAUUGGCUUUAUAUUUAAUCUGUAAAAACCUCAAAAAUAUAUUUAUUUAGAAGUUAGAACUAUCAAAAAUAAAGCGGGGCCUCCUCACACUGUUUCAGACAUGUUUUUAAUGAAAUUGAUAUUACAGAAGAUGUGGUUGAAUCAGCCAUUUUCAGCCCGAUCAUAAGCAUUGGAUUUGUGCUUGGGGGCAAAUGUGAACCCUUCCGGAACCUUUCCAAGCAGCAAUUCAGAUAUCCGCACCUGCAUGUAGUAACAUAAUAUUAAGCUUAAGCUCAGAUAGUCCAAACUUCGAAGUAAGAAGAUAAAAUGAAGAUUUUUUUUUAACGCACCCAGUCACCAGCAGAUUCAGACAUCAUGAGUGUCUCAAGAUCAUCACGACCAAAGUAAGAAGGCGGGCGCCAGUUGAUUUGCUGCGGGAUUACAUCAAGCAAACCGACAGGUAUGUACCUAAACGUGUAGCUUAGCCACUCCAGCAAAAAAUGCCUAGUUGUUUCAACUCCUGUUUGAAAUAAUUAUAAUAACGGCAGAGCAUUAGUCACAAGGGACAAAACAAACUAACAUAACAUAGUUUCAAUUCCAUGCCGUGUAUUUUAUACCUUUUGUGUCGGAUCCCCAAUGUUGAAGACCAAAACGUACAAAGUCCUUCAAGAUGUUAAGCCUUUCUCCGGAGGUAAUGUCCCAGUGACGUUGCUCUUUGAUUUCAGUAAAUAUCCAAGGCUGCACAAGUCAAAAUCCCAUUGAGACUAUCCAAUGAUCUACUAGGAAUAAACUAAUAUUAUUUGGUCAUACACACACCUUGAUCAAUGCUCCACGAGCAAUCAUGCAGCUAGACAACUCAGGACAGUCAGACUUGUGUUUGUUCCAGUCUAAAUAAGAGUACACAUCUCCAUUUCCUAUAACUUGUAGGUUAGUUGAAGCGUUUUUGGUACACUGAUAUAUAUAGUCCCAAUCUGCAGACUUGCUAUAACGUUGCUGCCUUGAUCGCCCAUGAAUAGUCACUGCAGUGGCUCCCCAAUUUCCGAUAUCUGCAAUUAAUGAAUCUAUCCGAUUCUUACCCUCAAAGAAUGCCGUACGUACCUGGCACCAAAAUGGUUAUAAUAUCAACACAUACACAUUCACCAAUGUUACAGUUUCAUAUGGAAGGCGAUUUCAUUUCAGAUUUGCUUAGGCAGUUACCUUGAUAGUGAUAGGUGUUUCAACAAUGGAAGAAGAAACUUCCACUAUGUUUUUCAUUCGUAAUGGUUUGUUGAGAAGAGCUGAACCAGCACUUUUGUUGACAACCAUAUCUAUCGGGCAACCCAUAUUGAUGUCAAUGAAAUCAACAGUGCAUUCUCGAUCUAUAAGCUCAACUGUGCGCGACACUGUAUCAGGAAAAGAACCGCAAAUCUGAACACCAAACAGAUCUUCUGAUGAAUGCCGUCUAAGUAGAGCCCACUCCGAAGCUUGACCCUACAACAAGUCAUUUUGCAUGUUUUCACAUUAUUACAAAAGAAAAGGAUUAAUCAUUCUGUCAGCAUAGCUGAGAGUGCAAUUAGUGGCUUAACCUGCAAAAGAUUUGUGCACAUAGCCAUCUCACCACAAGUCACAUCUGCUCCCAACACUUUGCAAAGUCUUCGGAAGGGAAGAUUGCCCACAGUUGUCAGGGGUGCAAGGUAUAACUUAUCCCUAAAAUCAAUAAGCUUUUUCUUUUCACGAGGGUGCAACUUUAGACUACCCUCAGUUUCAACAAUUUUGAUGCUAUCCUCAUCUUUUACGUCACCUUUUGAAGUAGAAUACCCAUUCUUUUGGGUUUCCUCUUCCACUUGCACGCCUGUAUCAAUAAAAUUAACUGAGACAUUAGGAUAUUUUCUUGUCCCACAACCUUCUUAUGUCAACCUUUCCUCUUUAAUACAUACUGUAGCUAAGAGAUAGCUACAUAAUUAUAAGUAUUGAAACUAUGCAACUAUCUGAGACAAUCUAGCAAAAGUUAAUUGACAUUUUGGUGUAGAGAAGUAAGCCUAACCAUCAUUAACUCCACCAACAUCUCCAGGAUUGAGUUUAUCUACGUUCUCAGAUUUUGCCUUUUUCAUGGGACGAACUUCCUCAGUUUCUAAUGGUCGAGGAAUAUCAACAUCUUUUAUCAUUUCUGAUGUAGGCUCAGAGCUGACAGCUGAGUCAACCGCCACUUCAGUUGCUUGAGUGACAUUUGCACCAUUUUGAGGUUUUUCUGCGUUAUUUUCUUCAGCAGCAUUGCUUUUUUUGGCAUGUCCCUAAAAAUUGUAUGAAAUAAAGAGAAUAACCACUCAGGUCUCAUGGUAUGAGAUAUAGGAGUGAAACUGCAGUAUAUGACAUGCCAUAGACACUGUACAAACACAAAAAAUCAUGAAAAUAAACGAAAUAAUACGUUGUAGAACAUACCAACAGACCGAGGGACUUGAGCUUCGCAUCUGCGUUGAUAAAAGUCAUCUUAUUCUUCCACAGAAGCCUCUGGGUCUCUUUGUUAAAAAAGUUGAGCUCCUCCUUCCCAUCUGAAUUACUAGCAAUUUCUCUGUGAGUGCCUAAGAAUCUACAUGAUAAACCAUAUGCACACUUCAUCUCAGAGGCCACAAAUGGGCACUGCCCCUCUAUAUCAUCUGGUUUCUGCAGUAUCAACAAAAAAAAUUGUCAGUUAAUUUCUUUCUCAAUAUCAUCCAAGUUCAAUCACACAAAAUCAUGGUACCAAAUCAACAUCGAUAAACGGCAAAAGUGAGUACCUGAGCCUUGAAAGCGUCAAUAUCAUGAUUAAACCGACAAUUAUCUUUAUACUGACAGGAAUUAACGUCUUCUGUUCUCGCAACCUGGGGACAGAGAUUGAUGGUAGAUUGCUGCAAGAAAGAGCAUGCCAGGUUCGGUUACAAUAAUAUUAAAAUUCACCGCAAUAAUACAACGGCACAGCAUAGAUUAUAUCCCUUUCGGAUUAAGGCCAUUCUCUAAACUAUCCAGUUUCACUUGCUAAAACCAAUUCUAAACCAUAGCUAGAUUCGCAGCUAUACUAGCACCGAUGUACAAAGCAUAACCACUAGUAUACUUUGAAAGCUUUCAGCGUAAUGGUAAUGUAAUGCUCGUCAUCUCUACUUGUGAAAUUGGGGUGAAUGGAAAUACCUCACGGCGUUCCCGUUUGAGCUGUCGUUUCGAUUUCUUCUCCUGGACCAAGCCAGACUGAGGCGCCUUCAAUUCGGCGUCAUUUUGCUUCCCGGAACGGCUUGGGGGAGGACAUAGGAACUCCUUCUUAAUAGGAGCCAUUGAUCGUUCUAUAAGCUCUUUCGAAGUCGCUUCAUACACAGAGAACUGUUUCGUCGAUUGGACAGGCUUUGCAUCUUCUCCAACACUAGUAUCCGCCGCGAGCUCCGCUACGGAAUCGGACAUAGCGGACAAGCUCCGUCGACGCCGGAAAUAUUCUAAAGGUACACGCCAAACUGAAGUGUGUGAGAUAACUGAUAGUGUUGUUGUUAGGGUUUUAGACUUUUAGAUAUUAUUUUUGCAGAGACGAAAGGCAACCCACGAUUUUAAUGGGCCAUGAACGAGGCCCAGCUUGUCAACUAAAAAAAAGGGGCAGGUAGAGAGGAAAAACGAACAACAAAGAGACAAAGAAUCCAAACUUAAAUAAAAACAAAACAAACAGAGAAAUCUCCUUGUCUGAAGUUCAAUCUCUUGUACCUCCAUUACAGAUAUAGCAUAUAUGUCCAGAUUCAUUACCUAUCUACCCAUAAAUUGAAUUUUUCUUCCUAAGAUAUAAAAUUAAAUUUCUUGGACUUACGCCUUAUAUGAUAUAUAUGUAAAUUCAACUGAGUCUGCACAUUAGAAAAAAAAAAAACUAUAAUGUAUGGUUUGAUAUGUAACUUUUAAAACUAAAACUCCAACCCUUUGAUCCAGCCACCACCGCAACAGCUUCUCUGCUCUAAUCAUUUGAUUCAGGUUUUGUUGCCAAUGCCAUGGUUCCAUUCUGGUUCUGCUGAGACUGUUGUCUUGACUGGCUGAUAUUGAGUUGCUGGAACAUCUCAGCGUUGAGUGAUUGCAUCUUUGAUCUGUCAGUUUCGUUGUGGCUGGUCUCACCGAUUGCUAGUUUCAGUCGCUGGACUUCCCCACUCAGUGCUUCGUUCAGAGCUGUCAUAGAAAAAGCGGGGAAAAACCCACUCAUUAUACAUUUCAUCAAGCGCAAAAAGAUUACAUCUUUGACAGAUAUUUUUAAGCAUCUAGUAGUAGUUGUUCCCAUUAAGGUUCAAAUACAUAGAGUAAAGAUGUCUUCAAUAUGGGUACCGAUACAGUUACAUAUGAGUGAGAUCAGAGGCAAAAGUCAUGUCAAUAAUAUCGUAAAUCAUUGAACAAACUUUCAUAUAAUUUCAAGAGAAAUGUGUACCAUCGCGAAGUCGCGCUUGUUGCUCCAUUGCUUGAAGACGGAAUUUCAGCUCAUUGUUCUGAUUUGUCUGCCCAAUCAUAUCUCUCUGUAUAAUGAUGCAGUAUAACUAAUAUCGUUAAAAACAAAAGACUAGACCGAUCAAGGCGCUGUUACAAUAUUGUAGACCACGCACCUGUAAAAGCGUGAGCUGAGCAGACAAUGUAGUGGCCUCGGUCUGGAGAGUCUGCACUUUGUGUUCCAAUUCGACUAUAUACCGCAUCUUCCUCUCCUUUGACCGUGCUGCUGAUUGACGGUUUGCCAAGAUUCUGAAAAUAGGAUCAUUGCAUAAACAUGGGAAAGCCGAUUAAAAAAAAAAACUGGUAACAUUAAUAAAAUUAUUCAAAAUACCUUUUGACACGCUUAGGGUCAGACAUGGCCAUCUCUGCUAGUUUAUCAUUAGCCAUGAUCUUCUUCAUUUCGGCUGCAGUAAAUUCACCGUUUUUAAACUCAAUGCUAAAAGCAGCACCCGAAUUCCCAUCAACUGAAUUGGUCGGGGAAACUUUCCGUGACAUAGUCCCGGGAGAAGGAGGCGGUUUAAGCGAUUCGUCACCAAAAGACAACUUCUCCAUGAAACAGCUGUCCACUGAAACACUCCUGUAAUGUCUGCUGGUGGGAGCAAUAUCACCUCCGGCAGCUCUUCUCUUGACGCUCUCUCUCUUUUCGCCGGAAGAAAUCAAAGUAUUGUUAUUAUUGGCAGUCUCAUUCACACUACUGCUCUCUCCUUCCGUAUCACUACCAUUGGUCUUGGUCCCGCUAGCUCUGCUGCUGUCCAUAUCAUCACGAUUCUCAUUACCGUUCCUGCUAUCGUCAGCUUCGGAGGAGUUCAAAACGUCAAUGUUUUCAAGAUUCAUAUAUGCAGAGAAGAGAUCAUCCAUGGCUUCUCUCUCCCCGACACCUUCCCUUUCGCAGGUGGAUUCCUUCUUGACAAAAGGAGAGGACUUUGACCAGUCAGCAGAUUCCCCACCAGAGACAGACCUCUCCAGUGGUCUGAAAGGGAGCGAAUUGUGGAGAAUGAUGGAACUAAAGCCAGUGGGAAUAUCACUGUUGGAGCGUCGAUGAGACUUUCUGGGAGGAAGGCUGUCGGGGAGCCUCAAGGAGCUAGAAGAGGUGGAGUUGCACCUGGUGAAGGGCGAUGGAGGCAACGAGGCGUUGCUGGUAAAGGCGCCGGAGUCAGGAUCGUCCAUGGAGACGUCGUGAUCUGGUUGCGGGGAGAGAGAAUCGCGGAAGGGAGAAGGGCUUAACGGAGGAAGAGAGUCGAAGGAGAAGAAAGAGUUGGGCUGAGACAUUGAGCGUGAAUGACCUCCUCCCGGGUUAUAAUUGGGUUGGCGGGAGGUCGGGAUCUGAGAAUAAGGAGAAGUCGGUGGGAUUAAAUUGGGGUGAGAGGGAGGCACACCGAUUCGUUUCCCAGUGUCACUGAAAGGCUUGGAGAAUUGGGGGAAUUGGGGAGUAGAGCGCAUCAAAUUAGGGUUUAAAUCGAGCUGCUGAAUGGGAUUCUUGGGAAAGGAAGAAGAAGAAGAAGAAGAGGUACCGAAAGACGGGGGAAGUCUCUGGAUCAUAUCAGUGUUACACUUGUCCGUAUCACCCAUUUGAAAUCCGGCCGGAGUAGAUCGAUACUGGAAGGUUAAUGCAGCCCACUCCGAUAACCCUAAAAGAUCAACCUUCUUUUGUGUAAUAGGGACCUAUCAUCAUCAUCAUCACCAUUGAUGAACCAAAAAAGAAAGAAGAAGUUGAUCCCAUGAAAGAAGAAAGGAAGGAAUUACAGAAAAAAAUCAGAGCUGAAGAGCAAGAAUGCAAGUGGUGGUUACCUCUACUUCAACGCACUUGAAUUAAUCAAUGGCGCAAAUGGCGAAAACGUAUCUAUUUAGCCCCCCCAAAUUAAAAUGGAUUUGUCUCUUUUUCUUCUCUAUAUUUCUCUCUCUUCCAACGUUGAAAUAAGAAAACCUAUCUAAUCUACUAAUAAUUUAUAAUCUUCUCCUCUCUCUCUCCUCUCUCUAGAAAUCGGAGAGAAUCACCAUUUUCUCUUUCCUUUUUUUUUUCUUUUCCUCCGCGAUUUUCUCUCCCCUUAUAUUAUAUUUUUCUCUCUAGAAAAUAGUAAAAACUCGAAAGAGACAACGACUUUUUUUUUUUUNNNNNNNNNNNNNNNNNNNNNNNNNNNNNNNNNNNNNNNNNNNNNNNNNNNNNNNNNNNNNNNNNNNNNNNNNNNNNNNNNNNNNNNNNNNNNNAAAAAAAAAAAAAGGCAAGAAGAAGACGCGUGAAUUUUUACCACAAGAAUCCCCAAUAUUUUCUGUCUAAUGCAAUUCUAUCCAAAAAAAUAUAAUUUAUAUAGUAUUUAUCUUCUUUGUCGCCGUUUAUUUCAAAUCUCUUUUUCAAGUAAAACAUCUCUGCAUUAUGGGUACCGUAUAUACGAAUUUUACAUAUUAUAUAUGAUUCGAUAUGGGAAGAAGUACCUAAACAUUCUUCAAAUUUGUAUAUAAUUUGUACAUUAUUCCUCGAUCCGUAUGAAUGCAUGCAUAUAACCGACUUUUUCGGAUCUAUAUCUUAAUAUUUGUUUAGUUUCACAAAAAUAAAAAAAUGAAUGGAUAUUUUGUAGAAAUGUAAUUCAGGCGAUAAAUAAAGUUACAAUCAUCUAGUAAGGACUUAUAUAUAUCUUUGAUGAUUUGAUUAAUAAUCUUUGAUGAUUUGAUUAAUGGAUUGAGAUUUAAUUGUAAUUCCGACCACAUUUGACAUUUGUUUGCUAGACGAAAGAUUCUGUCUUGGUUAUGUCUACAUGUUCAAAUGUAAAAGCCAUUUUUUGUAUUUUCUUCUUCUUUUUUAUGCCUCUUCCCUUACAUUUUUAUUAAUAUAUCUGUUAAAAAUAUUAUGUAAUGGACCGCCAUAUUGAAAUGAUUUGUUCCGGAUUUUUCUGUCUAUUAAUAUUCAAAUUCCCCCCAAAGAAAAUGCAGAUUAUUACUAUAUUUCUGGAGAUCUUCUUCUGUGUGAUCUCGUGCUGCAAUGUUUAUUUGUUUGUAUAAGGACGACGACGACGACAGAUACGCUUUUUGUUUUUUGUUUUUUCGGGUGAUUUAAUCACACUUUUAUUCGUAAUCAUAUUUGUAUUAAUUACAUUUAUUCUCGAUUUCUACAUCAUAUCGAAAGAAACUUUUUAUCCAAACCAUAAAGUUUCCAAAUGGUUAGAUGUGUAGUUGACGAUUAAAUGCUCUUUUUUUAUUAUAUACUGUAUUUUGUUUUGGUUUCUAUGUAGCACAAAAAAAAAUUCUCGUUUGCUUUAAAAAAUUUCACUUCUAUUUCAACAUAUAUAUAGCAAGCAAAUUCACCAAAUAAAAGUAUUAUGCCGCUAUAUGGUAUAAAUUAUCGUAUUAAUAAGAUUUAAUUGGUUAGAUAAACGAAACAAAAAAAUUUGUAAACAGAUUCUAAGAUCUAAAGUUUCAGCUAUCAUCAAAUAAAAAUAAUGAUAAUUCAUUUUGCCUUUAAUUACAUGAGUCCCACCAUCACAACAAAAACAUUGACUCUUAUAACCACCUCCCUCCAUGUUUCUCAUAAAUAUCUUACAUAACAUUAUUUGAUUCUCUUCUAAUAUUAUACUUACAUAUUUUAUUCAGCAUUCAGCAAUGUAUAUAUAUAUAUAUUAGUUAUAAUUUAAAAUAUAAAACUAUAUAUCGUGGAUAUAUACUGUACGACUCAAUAAUCUUACCGUCAAGUAAACUAAUAUAAUCGAAUAGUUUUGAGUCAAAUUAAGAACUCUGUGUACAGUAUUUUCUUGGAGUUAUGGAUUAUAUAUUACACUAGUAUAUUAGUAUCAUUUGUUUAUGGGGACUAAUGUUCGAAUUUAAGUCAGGGUCCGAUUUUUGUCAAAAUUUUAAUUAGAGUUAAGUCAGCUGAACUACCCUUCUUCCGAUGAGCUAAUAAACAAAUCAUUACAAAAUUAAUAACAAUGAUGUAUCUAAAAGUUCUUACGCGCACACACAUAAAUAUAUACUAUGUAUUUAUAAGUAAUACAAAAAUACAAAAUAAAUAAUACAACAUGCUUAUUUUUUUUUGUAGUGAUAUAGAAUAUAGGAGAGCAUAUUAAAUUAGUAGUAUUAACAUAACCCAGCAGGGAUGAAAAUUUGACGUCGAGUAAAUCGUGAGUUGAUUUUAUCAAAGAUAGUUUAUACUUUAUACUAAGUAGCAGCAAUAUAGAUAUUGAAAUGAAAAAUAACGAAGAUAAGCAGUGUGUGUUUUUACUGUAUAAACAUGCCUUAAUGUCCGAAAAGAAGUCAUAAUUGUACAGUAGUAGUACAAAUCUACGUGUGAAUUGGAUAAGUAGUGAAAGUCGUAAUUAAGGUGUAAAUCACGUGGAUUAAGUCCUGGUCCUAUCAUCAUCAAAUAAUAAUAAUAUACAAAUGGUCGUACGUGUUUGUUACACAAUUAAUCAACAGAAACCGAAGAAUGUAGGGCUUUAUAUUAACAAAAACAAGGUUGCACGUUUUAGUAAUCAAAGCACGAUUUUACAAAGUUAAUUAUUUUUCUAAAUUUGCUUGGUAGAAAUUCAUGUAUGUUGUAGAUUUUUUUUGUUUUAUUUUGUUUUCACGUACUGUGUUUAUAUAUUUGUGUUUCAUAAUUUAUAAUGCUUGGCAAAUGCAAAUGAUACAUCAUCCGUAACCAUUGGUGGCCGUGGCACAUCCAAAGUUUGGAAUAUCUUUUUUUUCUUUUUUAAGGUUAGAAUAUUUUACUUUUUUUCCCCCAAUAAAACGAAUAUACUAUUCCGUGAAAGCAUAUUGGUUCGGUUAUAAGAAACAAAACAACCUUGAAUAAGCACAUUCAGUUUCACACCUAAUAUUACACUUGUGUUUGCUUGAAUAAGUACACAUUNNNNNNNNNNNNNNNNNNNNNNNNNNNNNNNNNNNNNNNNNNNNNNNNNNNNNNNNNNNNNNNNNNNNNNNNNNNNNNNNNNNNNNNNNNNNNNNNNNNNNNNNNNNNNNNNNNNNNNNNNNNNNNNNNNNNNNNNNNNNNNNNNNNNNNNNNNNNNNNNNNNNNNNNNNNNNNNNNNNNNNNNNNNNNNNNNNNNNNNNNNNNNNNNNNNNNNNNNNNNNNNNNNNNNNNNNNNNNNNNNNNNNNNNNNNNNNNNNNNNNNNNNNNNNNNNNNNNNNNNNNNNNNNNNNNNNNNNNNNNNNNNNNNNNNNNNNNNNNNNNNNNNNNNNNNNNNNNNNNGUAAAAUGUAACCCAAGUCUCUCUAUAUAUAUAUAUAUGAAUUGGUAGAACAAGAAUCUUAUAUAAAUCUGUAGGUGUACUACUAACUAAUCUAAUAAUAAAAAGGAAAAACCAAAAACAAAACAAAAAAACUAGUAGAAAAAAGAAAGAAUAAAACGAGAACGCUCAGUCUUUGAGCUUAUCUUCAAAGAGAAAGCCAAAAAAAAAAANNNNNNNNNNNNNNNNNNNNNNNNNNNNNNNNNNNNNNNNNNNNNNNNNNNNNNNNNNNNNNNNNNNNNNNNNNNNNNNNNNNNNNNNNNNNNNNNNNNNNNNNNNNNNNNNNACUGAGACUACUAUGAGUGAUGAUUGCUCUCACCGAUCGAACGACCAGAGACCCUAAUUUUUCACUGUUUCUUGUUUUCUUGGUCAGCUUUGUGUAAACAAAUUUUAUUCCAACGAAACAUUCUCAACAAUUAGCUAAUUGAUGCAUGCGCUUGAUAUAUACAACAACCAAAGCAUCUAAUUUUAAAAGGAAAGCAUUCCUUUCUUUUACGUGUGCAAAAAGCGAAUCGAUUGGGAGAUAUAUAUACAAAUAUAGUCCAGAGCCGAAUGAGAAGAGAAUGCGGUUCAUGAACUCCGCAUGAUUCUUUGUUCCCCUUUUUUCGAACCGGUCUCGUCAUGGAGCUGGGAUCUUCUUAUAUUAUUUCUCAGGUUAGUAGAGACCCAAUGGUUUUGGUCCUUGUAUCAUGUUGUUCCCCAAGAACGUGUUUGCUAGAAACAAAAACCACACAUCAUCAAAGUGUUAUUCGUUUUCACCAUUCUGUUGUGUUUGUUAUGAGACUGUGACAGAAUUCUUAUCUUCCUAGUAAGAUAACUGUGGGAGGGAUACACCCUAUUUAUAUCUUUUAUCAUUUUCAAAUAAAUCUCGGAAUACUCGAUUUCAUCUUGUUUAUGAAUUUUCUUCGAGUCUACUAUUAAUAUAUUUUUUUUUGUUUAUUUGUUGUUCUAUAUCAUAUCAUCAACAUUUGCCUUUUAACCACAAAUAGUCAAAUACUAGUUGAUACAAAUUAAUAAUUCAGUUGGAGAUGAAUUCAUCAAAAGGGCCCAUAUCGUAUGAUUUGGUUUUGUUAUGUGUUACUAAUUUAGUUUCGUAUAAGUUGUUGAAAAUGUUUGUCUUAAGCUGAAAUUCAAAAUUCAACCAACUGAAAACCCAAAGCUCUAGCCAAACAUGGUAAAGGAGUAUCCACGGAGAGGGAGGGGUUUUGAAGUAACAAAAAUGUAUGUGUGAGAAGAAUGCAUGUUGUUUUUGAAAAUCUAAAAAAACGUUGCGCUGUUUACCUGAUGAAGAAGCGAAAUAUGUGUUGUUUUGCAUAAAAUGAGAAGAGGCGAACCGUCGUGAACCGAACCGGCGUCUUGAUUGGUUUGAGGAAAGGAACUCUCUCUCUUUGGAAAAUUUCCAACCGCCUCUCUUUGGGGAGUUUCUUCUGAUUUCUCACAUUUCUGUCUUCUUAAAUACAAAAGUCAAAAUCGGAUCAUCACCAUCGUAUCCCCUCACAACCGUUACAUACAUUAUUAGGGUUUUAUUUCUGCCUUCGCCUAUUCUGUACAAUUAAUUACUCUGGAAAUGUCUUCUCCAAUUAGGGCACAGAGGAAGCAGCCGCCGGAGCCGCCGUGUCAGAUUUCGCUACUCCCUGAUGAAAUCGUCGUCGAUAUCGUCGCCCGUGUCCCGCGAUGCUAUUACCCAACUCUCUCCCAAGUUUCAAGGCGUUUCCGAUCGCUCGUCGCGUCGCCUGAGCUCUACGCGAGACGGUCCUUCUUCGGAUGCACAGAACAAUGUCUCUAUGUCGCAAUCUCCAAAGAUCAAACCUCUGAUAUCCAUUGGUUUACUCUUUGCCGUAAACCUAACGGACAACAACUCUCCGGCACCUCCUCUGAUCACCGCUUGGUCCAUAUCUCCUCUCUCCCUCCCAUGUCCUUACAUGGAAGCUAUGUAGGCCUUGGUUCUAAGAUCUUUGUGAUGGGUGGAUUUUGCAAUUGGAAGAUCACUUCGAGCGUUUCGCUUAUCGAUUGUACAACUCACUCUGCUCAGUCUCUCCCUGACAUGCCCAAAGCCGUUGCCAUUUCCGUCACAGAGCUCAUUGAUCGGAAGGUUUAUAUAAUCGGAGGAUCAGAUACGCUUUCUCCGAUGAAAUCUCCGUCGAGAAGCAUAAUGGUGUUCGAUACAGAUACGGGAAGGUGGGAUCUUAAGGCGAGACCAGAUUGGGAGCAAGGGAAAAGAUGGUUUAGCAGUGUGGCAAUGGGAGGUAAGAUUUACAUGAGGACUUAUUACAAUAGCUUUGUUUAUGAUCCCAGUAAAGGUAAUUGCGAUAAAGACGAGGUUCUGCAUUCUAAGGAGUGGUCCAGUUCAUGUGUGAUAGAGGAUGUCUUGUAUUAUUAUGACGUUCGUGGGAACUGUUUGAGAGCUUAUGAUCCAAAGCAGAGAUCUUGGGCAGUGGUCAAAGCUUUGGAAGGAUUAUUGCCUCAGGCUUGUAAGUGGUCGAAAAUCGCGAGUUACAGCGGUGGGAAAUUGCUUCUCUUCUUGCAGAAAACAGAGAAAACAGAGAUUUGGUGUGCGGAGAUCGCAGUGGAAAGACGCUCUGAUGGAGAGAGUUGGGGUAAAGUUGAGUGGUGUAAUGUUGUGCUUAGUGGGAAUUUUCACAUUAUGGAUUGUGUAGCUGUUGUGCUCUGAUCUGAUGAUUCCUUGAAAUGAACUUUUGUGCUGCCAUGCAACUUUCUUGUGUGUUUAUUAGCUUAUGAAUGUGCCUCACAACCUCCUUUUGGAUUCUUCUGUUUAGCGUAAGUUGGUAUGGUAUAAGAUUGCUGUGUUUUGUGGGGGCGCUGUUACAUUUGAGUCCCCUGCUGCUUCUUCUGUUCUGUUUUAGUGAUUCAAAACUUAUUUGUGCUCACAAAAACUUGAUAGAAGGAUCUUAGCAUAAAAGGUUGGAGUCAACGACACUUGGCAUAUACAUAUAGACAUUUUUAUUGAAGCAUCUUCUUUAUUUGUGGAUUAGGUAGAAAAAAACAAAAAAAAAGUUUCUUACUUCGUUGAUCAUACCCACCUGAAACAUUAAUUGAUCAUAUGGGAAUAAUUGGUAUCUCUUGAGCCAAAAAAGCAUCAAGCAUCAUGUUUAUUGGCUACUAUUCUCUGAAUUGUCGUUGAUUCAUUUUCUUCUUUUCCGGUUAAACUAAUCCUAUUGUAGAUAACAUUUUUGAUUUUUGAUUUUUGAUUUUUUUUUUUGUCAACAAGAUAACAUUUUUGAAUGUCUUCAAAGAUUAUAAGAAAGCCUCGUAAUAGUUGAUAGAUUUCCAUAAUGAUUCAAUAAUAGUUACAUAUUUAAAUGUGUUAACAAGUUAUUUUCAUAUUAAAAAUUCAAACAUUUAUAACAAUUUGUAAGGGUAAAAAGAACAGAACGUUGAGGGAGAAAAAAUCAAUUACAACAUUAUAUGUUUCAAAAUCAAAAGACAAACAAAAGACACAUCAAGAAAAUAUACAAAAGAUGGCUUCUGCUACAAGAAACCUAGAAGCAUAGUGUCAUUGGCGAAGCAGAAGUUAGGUAAUUGUAGGCAUGCUUUUUCUCCAACUAUGCGAUCUCCGGGUUGUCAAGAACGAAGGAGGUGUGAAGGUCAGACCAAACAUCUCCUUCAUGGCUCUGCCUUGCUCAGCGAACCUCACAAGCUUCGCUACAACAUCUGCACUUUCUACCACCUGAGUCAUGUCCUUGGGAUUGCUCCAGAGCUCAUUCACAAGUUGUAACCGCCUACGUUUGGAGUUAACUACAAUCCCAAACUUGUGAUAGAUUCUUCUCCUCUCUUCUUCUGAAAACCUUUUCCCCACAAGCUUGCUCAGCAUCUUUCUCUCCCUAUGAAGUGCUUUCCGGCUUAACCAAAACCAAACGCCACAGAAAAAAAGAUUAGGCCUUGAACAAAACUGCAACCAAAAAUGCCAAACGCUAUAUACAGACGCCAAAAAUAUCUAACCUUGAGGCCAAUGUUAAGGUUUCUCCUCCCAAUGCUUGAUUUCCUUGAGAGAAGCUAUCUUUCAUAAACAAAAGUCUUCUUAGCUCUACUCCUAUGUAGAUUGAAUCCGCCUCAUCUCCUUUGAAGAGCAAGUAGAAGUAUGUUCUAUGCACCAAAGAGACGUUACAGGUUUGCCAUAGUUCCAGAAUCUCUUGCCGUUGUCUCUCGAAUUCUCUGUCCAUGGACUCCAGACCUAUGUCCCUCCCAAUUUUACCAGAACCCUCAGCAUUCAAGACCUGAUAAACGAAACUUGCAAAAUGAAUUGUAAACUACAAAGACGAAUUGAUCAGUAUAUAUAUGAUUAUGAACUUACGUCGCCUUGACGCUUAGCCAUUUCCUUAAGCCCUUCAACAAAAGUCCGGAUGCUAGUGAUACCUCCCUCUUCUCCUAACGGCGUUCUGAUGCUCUGAGUCCCAGUGGAAUCGCUUCCGCAAGAAGACAUAGAAUCAUUCCUCGACACACUAGAACCAAACUCUAAAUCAGGAAACGAAAUCUUGUGACUCGCUGGUCUUCCGAGGAAGUCUGUCCUGGGGAUUUCAGGCGGAGUGCUUGUGCCCGGCAUGGUCUCACUGCGGUUCCAGCUUCUCCCCCUGACGUUCUCGCCUACACUCGUUUCACCAUUAGCAUCCUCACCACGACCUAAAACGUUCUCAGGUUCUGCUCUCUCGUCUUUGUUGUUGUUAUAGACUGUGACCGAUUCCUCAGUCUCAAUGCAUUGAACUUCUCUGCAGUAUUCUUCUGAUGGAUCUGCUGAACGCCUAGGCAACUCUUCGUCCAGAUCGUCGUCGUCAGAGUGAGAAUGAACAUAAGCUCUUGAUACUGACAGGGGUGUCGACAUUCCAUCUGAUAUGUAACUCCUUCUGUCUGAAUCGACCACGCCUGAUGUCUCUGAUACUGAACCAUCCUCCCAUGUGUCUGUGUGGUUGCCGAAAUGUGGAGUUCCAGGCUUCGACAGAGGAAAAACAGAAGCUAAUAAGCAGAAAUGCCAUAAAAAUCUAAGGCAAAAACGUGAUAUUUGAGAACAUGUGACAAGAAUUGAAUUAUCUGUUUAGUGGGAUUAUGAGAAGAACCAGAAGUACCUUUGACGCCACAUUGUGUUCAACCAUUCUCAUGAAAUCUUCAAGCCGGGAUUGAGCAAGAUCCCUCUGUUUUCUCAACUCAGUGAUCUGCUUUUCCAUCUGCCCCACAGUUACAAAACCAGCCAAUGUCAUACCAAACCUGAACAGGAAAUUUAUGAAAGCAAUUUUUGGGUGUUCACAAAUGCGCUAACCUUUUGUAUCUGAAGAUCUUUCUUCUUCACCGUCAUUGCACAUUCACAGUUUGAGGCAGGUGAGGAGGCAGGGUUUCUCAGUUCGGUCUCGAGCCUCGCAAGCUCACGCUGUAGUUGCUUCAGCAGAGCCUUGUCUGACAUAACAACAUUGAUCCGCGCCUUUGUGGUAACUUCCUUUGCACAGCACGCAAACAAGAGAGUGUUCCUCGUUAGCUCUACAUGACUCCUCGCUGGGCUCAGGGUGCAGAUGAUAGCGGUUCUUGCAUUCCCCCCCAAGCAUGGCUGUAGAAUUCGUGUUAGCUUGGAGUCUCUGAAGUUGAUAUGCCCUUGUCUUCCCUUACUAGAUCAAAUGUAAAAACGCGUAGUUCUUUGGUUAAAAAAUAAUUACUAAGCAUGCGAAAGACAGCAAUGUACUUAAAAGGAUGUAUUGUUUACUCACCUAAGUUUACGGAUCACCGUUCCAAGAGUCAGCAAACUUCGAUUGAUAUGGCAGCCUUCCUUCAGUCUUGUACCAGCUGACAUCGCCUGUGAUGCACGCUCGCUUCCCGCUAGAUCGAUGAAAUUCUGCACAUAAGAGCGAUGAGCAUGGACAUGGUAAUUAGAGAAACAAAAACUUCAAGAUCCAACAUAAGGAAGGGUUGUUUAGCUUUGUAGAUGAGAGCAUACCACACUCGCCAUGAGGGUGGUGGAGUUUUCUUUGCCUAAGAACUCACGACCAGAGCUUUCAACUGUCUGAAAAAUUAAGGAGACAAUCAAGGGCCAACCAAGAGGGAGAGAAUUUGUAUCUUAAAUCCAGUGGUAGAUAGAAUUUAACCAGUCUAAUAAUUUGAUGAGAUCUAGAACUUCUGUCAUUCAAUGCAGUUUCACCAAUUUUGCGCUGUGCUGCAAAAAUGUAGAAACAUGUAUGUUACUUUAGAGACAACAUUUUCUGAAGAACAAUCUGAGUUUCAAACCACGUGCAAUACAUCAUUACUAUCAUUGGCUACUUGAUAGUAAUGGAAAGUUAUGUUGAAUUUUGAGUUUUACCUUCACAAAUAGAUAGAAGCUCCUUCAGAUGGUUCCAGUCUCGCAGAGUUUCCUCUGUGGCUUUAUCAACAAUGGUCCCUUUCUAAUAAGAAAGGAAAGAACAAGGAGAGUCAGACAGUUUUACAAAGUAAAAGCUCCUAAUAAGGAAAAUGACAUUCAUUUUACCUCAGGAUCGUCUCGUAGCCUCAGUGAUGUACCAUCCGAGCUAAGCAGAUCUCGUAUGGCCUCAUUGUAGAUCUCUAUAGCUGAAAAUUUCACAGCAAACGCCCUUUCUUCAUGCUGCAGCGUCCAGAUCCAAUUAGUAGUGCAUAAGAAGAGCAAAGACCAGCAUUAACUUUGGAAAAAAACUUAUACAAUGAGGCCUCUACCUGAAAUAUAUAAUCAAAUAUGUCAGCCACGGCAAACUCUGUAAUACCAGUCAUGGUGUAUGUCUUUCCGCUACUCGUCUGGCCAUAUGCAAAAAUACUACCUGUCAAUCAUUACAGUCAUUGAAGAACUCAGCAUACCAUUUCAUCAAUGUGAGCAUCAGCAAAAUAAUGGGAAAGAAUAACUUACAGUUGAUUCCUUUGACAACCGACAGGGCGAUUUCCUUGGUUCCAUCCUCGUAAACUUCUCUGGUGGGACAUUCACCUCGGUAGACUUUAUCUGCCACCAAAAAAAAAGAAAAUAGAAAACGAAAUGGGAAUCUGAGUCAACAAUCAACAAACGGAUAUGAAAAGUGAGACUCUUUUCAAAUAGGAAGCAAAAGUUUUGAAUAUCAAAGGUCACAGCCAGGUAUGAGUUAAGUUGUUAAAAGAGGUUGUGAUGCUGUUAAAUAUCUCAUUAUGGAUUUCAGACUCAGGAGGUUAACUAUUAGUUUGGAGUUCCAGUAGCAUUAUUGCUCUUCUUACCAAAUGAAUAUGCAGAAGGAAAGUUUGAGCCUUCGCGCAACGUGUUUCUGUACAAUAUGGUGGUAUCAUUGAUGCAUUCCCAAUCCGCAGCUUCAUUAGCUGCAAUCUCUUUCUCGUUUAGAGGCCUCAAUCUCACCAGAACCAGAAUCUUCUCUUCUCGGGGUGUCUUCUCCAUCUCCUUCUGCUCUCUUAUAUAGCAAGUGCUACCGAUUGCUCAGCAUUGCUUUGCUUUCAGUGUAACCGUUGUUUUCCUGAAACAGUUCAAACUUAAGACCUCCAAGAUUGGUGUCUUUGGAUAUUUAUUGCAGAAGAAAUGUUCAGGACUACUGAAAGAAGUUCAGCAGCAGGAUACAAUUGGGAAGAGACCAAAAGGUCCCUUUAUUUUCCAACUAAGAAAACCAGAAAGAGAUGGAAAAACUAAAGAAAUCUGAUCUCACCGAACCAAAACUAAGAGAGUAAAACAUGAAACAUGCCUAGAAAAAGACAAGCUGCUCUGUUCUGCUGAAGGAGAACACUUUAUACAUUUCAAUAAACCAAACACACAAAAUAACAGAAGACUUUGUGUUAUUAUAAUAUUAGGUUUAUACAAGACAGUUUACUUAGAAGGUGAUCUACCUCAACUGAAGAACCGAAAAAAAAAACAAAGAUUACCGACUUUAUCUGUAAUGGUCACCCACUAUCCUUGAAGACUAAGUCACGUUUUAUCAAAUCUAAACCAUUGUUUAAUCGAAUAAGAGGGUAAUGAAAUGGUCCCACAGACCACACUUCUCUGUCUGAUAUAUAUACAAGUGUAGAGGAAACAACAAGUUAUCAUAUAUUCUAAUUACAAUGAAAAGUGACUUGGAUUAAAAUAAAGAUUUAGUUUUGUAUUUCAUCAACGGAGAGACGAGGUCAGCCACAAAUGCGUGUUUUUAAGGUAAACUAAAAGGAGCUUCGAGUUAACUACUAGUCAAAACGCAUUGACACUUUUGAUUUGCAUCAAACCGAGCAUUUAAACAUCAUUACAAAAAUGUAACUGAAUCUUAAUCCAAAUGUUCAUAUAUAAAGUGCGUAUCGAUAUUAAAAGGCAACAAAAGGGAAACAUGCAAAGAGCUUGUUUACCAAGUGAGAUGUCUUCUACCUCAAGGCAAUGUGGUUCCAAAAGAACAUUGUAUCUCAGUCGCACCCGGAAGCUCUAAUCUGCAACAUCCACUACAGAAUUAAACACCAACACUACUAAGUACUAACCAACCCACAAAUUCUUAACUAUUUCAACAAUUUUCCACUAAUUUAUAAUGCCACACAAACCCACAAAAAAAAANNNNNNNNNNNNNNNNNNNNNNNNNNNNNNNNNNNNNNNNNNNNNNNNNNNNNNNNNNNNNNNNNNNNNNNNNNNNNNNNNNNNNNNNNNNNNNNNNNNNNNNNNNNNNNNNNNNNNNNNNNNNNNNNNNNNNNNNNNNNNNNCUUAAAAUGUCGGAAUUGAUAGCACAAUGAGAAAAAAAUGGAGAGAGAGAGAGAGACACACACACAGUGGUCACCGGAAAAAAAACAGAAGAGAAGGGAAAGAAUGUUCUUAUAAAUUAUUUAACACAACCCACUCCACUCCUGCCUAGUACAGUAACAGUAAUGGUAAUGGAAAUGGUUGUUGUUGUUCGUCUUCUUCUUCUUUAUUAUUUUCUCUCUCUCUAAGGAGGGUCGACCCACACUCACUCGUCUCGUCUCGGCAUUGAUUUGGUCCCCAAAGAUAUUCUCUCUUCUCUCUCUCUUUUGUUGUAUUCGUCGAUUCGCCCCGGGGGUUGUUUCUCUCUCCUCCAUCUGGCUUUGGGGAGUUGACAAAUCUACCUAAUGACUCUUUUACCCCUUAACCUUUUUUUUGUUCAUUGAUUCGAUAACUCCCCUUAAACCGCCAGAUGGACCCCCCCCCCACUCCACUUUAUAUUAUGUUAGGAGCCCAUUAGUAACAGGCCUUCUCCUCGGCCCAUAUGUGCAACAUAUUUGUGCUCCUUACCCUUCUGUUUUUAUUACAAGUAAAAAGCCCAGCAAUUGGCAAUGAUAAUAUUCACUUACACGUGCUACUGUCGUCUUUUCUUUCUUUUUUUUGUUGGGUUUUUGUUCUCUCCGCAUCAAAUGUUUUUGACAAGUUUCCAUGCAAUGUGUUUAUCAAUGUAGUCUUUUUAAGUAUUUUUCUUUUUGGAUUUUGCAAUUGUUUACAUAUGAAAAAAUUGAUUUCUUCGUGGUUUAAUUAUUAAUAUGCGUCAAAACUUUUUUUAAAAAAAAAUUCCAGAUACCAAGUUGUUGCAUAAUUCUGCUAAAGAAAUGUUUAUGGGAGAGUGGGAAAUAAAAUAAAAUAAAAACUAACAUAAUUGUGGAGAUCUUUAAUUAGUUAAAUGAAAAAAAAAAAAAAAACUGAAUAUGGAAGGGGAAAAGAAAUAAAAACAACUUUAAAUGAAGGCCACUAGUAGAGAGAGAGAGCCUUUGAGAGUUUGCUUUCAACCUGUACUACUACUACUACUUCUCGACCACCAAUUCCUUUUUUUAUAUGGCUGGUGACAUUUGGCCCACCCACCUUUUUGUCUUUUCUUUUUUUUUUUCCUCUUGUGGCUCUUAUUUUUUUCACCUUUCUUAUAUCAUUUUAGGUCAUAUUUUUACUCUCUUUAUUUUUUUCCUUUUUAUAAGAGUCACAGGUCCUAAAUCUACUGAUCCUUUAAGACAAUUUCAGCUACCGUCACAAAAAGAGAAAGAAAAAAAAGUGGAAAACAAAGAAAAUAUCCAACAUAAGUAGGAAAAAAUCAUACAUAUAAGGUUGUAAUUGAAUGACAAUAGAAGUUAUCAGAGAGAGAGAGAGAGUAGUGAUUUCAGACCUAAAACAAAGGAAACACAAGAGGACGAGUCUGUUUCAGGGAACACACAUCAUUCACUGCAUAGAGUCUUUUUCUUUUUUUACGAUUUUAGGGUCCUAAUUUUUAGUCGAGAUAAUAUUCUUUUCAAGUCUUAUAUAAUGGCACUUUUCUUUAUAAUAAAAUCUUAUUAAGAACUCAAAACCAUAUCCACUCAAAGAUAUGGGUGUUGUCAUUAUAUUUCUCCUAAUCAUACUACACAUUUCUUGUUUUAGGCGCUUUCUAUUUUUUCCUUUAAUGAAGUAUUUAAAAGACAAAAGAACACUAAUGAAAUUGCAGAAAUUACCCAAAAGUAGUAAUUAACAGUUUUGCGCCUAGUCACAGCGAGUGAGAGUAAUACAUUUACAUACUUCUGUUGUGAUUACUCUCGGCGCGUGGAUUUGGUCGUCUCUUCUGGUCGCUCAAGCUUCUCUCCUCCAUCCUUGAAAAGAUUUUCUUAAAAAAAUUUCCAUUCUUUUCUUCCUCCUUCUUCUUCUUCUUCCUUGAUACCAACGCGUAAUCCUACUAACCCUUAAUCUAUAUACUUUCUCCUUAACUAAUCUGAACUGUCUACUUGUUCCCACUUCAUCUCUUUCAAUCGCCAUCUGAGUUCUGGCUAAAGAUUUUGACUUGGAGGUGAGAUUCAUUGUUCCGCAUAGAGUGAGAAAAAGACCUUCUAAGAUUGAACCAGAAAUAUGCGAAUUUUGUGCGAUGCCUGCGAGAACGCAGCCGCUAUCGUCUUUUGCGCCGCCGACGAAGCUGCCCUUUGCCGCGCCUGCGAUGAAAAAGUAAUUUCUUCUUUUCUUUUCUUUUUUUUCGCUUUCUCUGCAUCUGUUGUUGACGGUGCUCUGAUUCAUGGGUUCGUGAAAGAUCGAGUCUUUGUUACUUGUGUCUUGGAUUUUCACUUUAUUUGGGCAUGAGUUGAUCGGACUUUGCUCCAUAAGCCAAUAAAGUGGAGAACUUUUGAGCUAAAGAAAUAGAUUUUGAGAUUUGGUUUCUAGAAUCUUAGGCUCUUGACAUCAGAAUUGUCUUUUGUAUUGGAGCGAAGCAUAUUGAUCCGUCAAAAGAAUUCAAAACGUUGAAACCUUUUUUUCAUCUGGUGUAUGGAGCAUGUUCAAUUGAUGAAUUACAUGGAAUUCAAGUAUUCUUGUUGCUGCGGUUUCAAUGAUUCUACUCUGUGAUGUACAUUGCAGGGAACAUUUUGUCUCCAGAGUUUGCAUUUUGUAUAACUUCUGGAGAAGAAAUUUUUUGCGAUUAAUCCUUACUUCAGUUAGAUGACUCUAAGGGUAACACUUUACAGUCCUUCUCGAGUCAUUGGUUAAUCCGUUUCUAUUGCAAUAGCUCUGAGUAGUUUUCGAAUAUACCAUUGUUGUUAUUAAUAGAAAAUGGGUUAAUUUGAUGUAUGAUUCAGAAAUCUGUGAUUUUUUUUACUUCAGGUUCAUAUGUGCAACAAGCUAGCUAGCCGGCAUGUACGUGUUGGUUUAGCCGAACCAAGCAAUGCACCAUGCUGUGAUAUAUGCGAAAAUGCACCUGGUAUGAUCGGUUUACAGUGAAGUUUGCAUACUCAUGUUUCAUUGUGUUAGCAUAUACAUAUAUUAAAAAUAAAGAUCAGAAAACUAAUUCUUCGUUUUUCCGUCUGGCGUUGUGAGAACAGCCUUCUUUUACUGUGAGAUAGACGGUAGUUCCCUCUGUCUGCAAUGUGACAUGGUAGUGCAUGUUGGUGGCAAGAGAACACACGGUCGGUUUCUUUUGCUGAGACAGAGAAUCGAGGUUUGAAAUAACUAAUUGUUUCUUUCGUUCGCUCAAUACACACAAUCAUUUUGAGUCCAUUUCUUAGAUUUAAUUGUCAUCUUGUGUUUACCGUUUCUUGUAGUUUCCAGGGGAUAAACCUAAACCAAACAAUACUAGGGACAACAUGCAGAACCAAAGAGUCUCAACAAAUGCAAAUGGUGAAGCUAAUGGCAAGACUGAUGACGAAAUGAUUGAUCUAAAUGCUAAUCCGCAAAGAGUACAUGAGCCAGCAUCAAAUAACAAUGUAUUCGAAUCUCUCUAUCUAAUAAUAUAUAUCUCUAUAACUUUCCUAAUCCGUUUAUUGUGUUCUCAAUUUGUUUUGUUUCUCAAUGAGCAGGGCAUUGAUGUAAAUAACGAGAACAAUCACGAGCCUGCAGGUAUUGUACCAGUUGGACCCUUCAAACGAGAGUCUGAGAAGUGACAAGGUGAAAGAGAGAGAGAGAGAUAGACUAUAUUUACUCUGAUACCAAAAAUCAGCUUGAGAAGAAGAUUGUAAAGAGUUUCAAGAACUGGAGAUCGUUGCAGUACGCCAGCUUUGUUGUUGUUGAAGAGGGCAAAGGUUUAUGUUGUUUGUGCAUUAUCUUAGUUUAACAGAAUUAGCUUAAGGGCUCACAUCACAGGAAUGUAAGCUAAUAUCUGAAAUUCUGAAUAUUUUUUUUUUCUUUUCUGGUUUCCUUCUUUUCUUUCUUUUUAAUAUAACUAUCUGGAAAAUAUNNNNNNNNNNNNNNNNNNNNNNNNNNNNNNNNNNNNNNNNNNNNNNNNNNNNNNNNNNNNNNNNNNNNNNNNNNNNNNNNNNNNNNNNNNNNNNNNNNNNNNNNNNNNNNNNNNNNNNNNNNNNNNNNNNNNNNNNNNNNNNNNNNNNNNNNNNNNNNNNNNNNNNNNNNNNNNNNNNNNNNNNNNNNNNNNNNNNNNNNNNNNNNNNNNNNNNNNNNNNNNNNNNNNNNNNNNNNNNNNNNNNNNNNNNNNNNNNNNNNNNNNNNNNNNNNNNNNNNNNNNNNNNNNNNNNNNNNNNNNNNNNNNNNNNNNNNNNNNNNNNNNNNNNNNNNNNNNNNNNNNNNNNNNNNNNNNNNNNNNNNNNNNNNNNNNNNNNNNNNNNNNNNNNNNNNNNNNNNNNNNNNNNNNNNNNNNNNNNNNNNNNNNNNNNNNNNNNNNUUCCCCUCCCAAUGAAGAAAAGUCGAAAAAAUUGGCGAAUCAAAAAGAUCAAGCCCAUUAACUAUGCAAAGGCCCAUAAGGCUAAAAUAAGCGUUGUAUUGUGCCAUACUCAAUUGUCCAUGUUCUCUUGGCUAUCUUCUUACUAUAAUACUUUCUAGUUUCUUCUACUCAUCAUCUUCUCCUCUGCCAGGCUUGAACUCAUGAGCUGGAGCUAUACCCUCAAACCAAAUGAGCUACAAAUUCGGGAAAUUUUCAAAUACGAAAUUGAGACUAUUCUUUUAGAAUUUCUGUCAUGGUCUAGAAAACACAGUUUAAAUAGAUCAAGAUAGAGAUAGAUAACUUCAAUAUAAUGGAACUUAUUAAAAGGAGUAGCUAAUGCAAAUUCAGCAGAGAAAAUAAUGAUUUGACAUGAUAAUAACAACCAAACGCAAAAACAAAUGUGAUUUAAACAUUUGCUUCAUCUCUUUUUUUCACAGCAUUAUCUCUUCAGUAGGUGUAGCCUUUGACGAACAUUCCCUCCUUGGCCUCUUCGGACUCACCUUCUCCGGUGUAUUUUCCGAGCUGAGCCAACGAAUUCGCCUUGGCACGGGCCAAGAGAGUGGUCUGAGCUGCGUUCACGUUCUCGGGUCUGCCGGCCCAUGUUUUCAGGCAAGUGUUCUGCAACGCACGUGCGUAGGAGAAGGACACGUGCCAUGGGUUUGGGCCCUGGUUCAUUGCGUUCAGGUUGAGUGUUGCCUCCACCUCCGACUGUCCUCCGGACAAGAACUGCAAAUAACAAAUAACAAGAGAAACAAUAUUACUUCUACCUCAAGCCACCAGCAAGAUUAGGUUUUACCUCAGUCAGCAUUUUGCUAUUAUCUUUAAAAGAAGGAGAGAACUUGCCAUGAUUCCGGGGACUGCGGGAGGGACUCUGUUGCGGAGGAGCUUGAGGGUGUAGGAGGAGACUUGUUCAGGAGUAGCUCUGUCUUUACACUCAGCUCCGGGAGUCACCAUGCUCGGUUUCAGGAGGAUACCUAUGCAAGAAGAAAGUGGUAAAUUGUUAUUUUUCAGACAUUACAAGUUGUAACAAGAGACGUACUCUAUAACGAAUAUACCUUCAAACAUGACAUUGUUUUGAGCAAGGUAGAAGAAAACCUCAGCCCAAACCUUCUCAGCCACGUCGUAUGUCCUGUCAAUGCCGUGCUCUCCAUCCAACAAGAUCUCUGGCUCCACAAUCGGAACCAAGCCGCUGUCCUGAAAAAACACAACUUCUGUAUAAAUAGCUUGAAAGAUUCCGCUUAGAACUGUUUCGUGGGGGACAAGUUACGUGUUUUACCUGUGAAAUGGCAGCGUAUCUAGCAAGACCCCAAGCAGCUUCUUUGACGGCCAGAGCAGAUGGACCGUUGGGAAUGCUCACGACAGUACGCCUAAUCAAUCAUCAGAGAGGAAACAAUCCCUUUAAAAUCGAGAGUAGACCAUAUUUUCGUGUAGGAAAUGAAUGAAAACAGAAGUGAAAGUAGAAUACCAUUUGGCAAAACGAGCACCCUGUUGGUAGUAAGCAGCAGUUCGAGAGGAUAGACCGUCUAAUCCUUGACACCAUGACUCAUUGUUGGAUCCAACAAGUGGCACCAAACCCUAAUUAAUAGUCCAUAACACGCAACUCAAUUUAUAUUCCUCGAAUUAAGCACCAUGCAUGUUGGUAUACAUAGAUUCAAACAAGAUGCAUAUAAGUGUUACCUUGUCAACUUUGAUACCAGGGACGAUGUUCUGCUCGACGAGGACGUCGACCAUUUUCUUGCCUUCGGUGGUAGACUGAUACAGAGUCUCCUCGAAUAGGAUUGCGCCGGAGAUGUACUGUCCGAGUCCCGGUGCAGAGACGAGCAUAGUCCGGAACGCCUGGCGGUUAGCCUCAGUGUUCUCUAGCCCAAUUGAGUCCAAACGCUUCCCGCAAGUCGCGUUGGACUCAUCCAUCGCCAAGAUUCCGCGUCCCGGAGACGCAAUUGUUUUCUACUCCAACCCAAAAUUAAAAGGAAUCAUAUCAAAAUAUAAACCAGACAUCUAAUAAAUGGUAAAGAGAAACACAAAUUCGGUUUGAAUCGGUUCUGAAAUGAAAAGAAAAAAAAAAUAGAAAAAGGAGAAAAACAGAACAAGAGAAUUUAGACAAUUCCAAUAGACAAAAAGUAGAGAAAAGGGACCUUUACGAAUCAUGCAGAUAAAAGAACACGUGGCAAAGAAGAGGAAGUGAACUAACCGCUGUCUUAACAAGCUCAUCAGCGUAGGAGGAAGCAGCGCGGACGGUGAGGGAGGUGGCGCGGUUGCGGAGGACGACGGAGGCGGAAGAAGGCUGACGGAAGAGAACGCUUUGGCCCUUGACCCAUUCCGAUUUGUCCAACACCGGAGAUGCCUUGAGGAGUGAGGUUGAUGCCAUUGGUUUAUCUCUUUUCUCUGCCUUUGGUUAUUUUUUUUCUUAUAAUUUGAGAGACUCAGAGUGAAAGCUUAUGACACCACCUUAUCUUGCUCUCUCACCACCUCACUCCCCUCCCCUCUUUUGGAUUUUAUAUUUCUCUUCAGAUCAGUUAUUUGAGGUUCUUGUGACCUUGCCAAUUAUAUCCUGCCACCUGGACCGUAAUCUUGUAUUAACUCUCCCCAAUUCAAGAAAAAUUCUACACUUUGAUUUCUUUAUUUUUUUUUUUCUUUCAUUUCAUUUUUUUUUUAAUUUUUACUUCUCCCGAAUAUGGAAUCGAUACUCCCCUCGUCGUUACAUAUUCGCUUGAUUUUUGUUUGCUCUAUACAGGAAAAAAUGGUAAGUACACAAAUAGUAACAGAUUCUUUUCAGGACAUUGUUUCUUUGGAGAAUUUUUUUUUGAUAACUUUAUGCUAAUGUAUUUUAGUAGCAUAUUACCAUGUACACUGUACACACAGUGUAUAAAUUUUAGGUUUUCGGUGAUUUAGCUAUAUAAAACUUUUUUUUUUCUCUUAAAAUUGUGUAUGUCUCUUGUAUUUACUCUACAUGUUGUCAUGACGAUGAGGUCGAGGACAGAAAACAUCGGACAAACGCAUCGUUUUCGAUUUAAAAAACAGUGGCAAAACAGGAACAGCUUAUAAAGCUACAAAGAUGUUGUUUUGAUAAGAAAAAGAAAAAUCAUGAGGUUCGUAUCCGUUCUAAUAUUUUAAGGGAGAGAGAUGACGAGAUUAUUCAUCAGUUUAGCAGAAGUCUAAAUCUGACGGCAAAGAGUUCACCAUGUCAUCAUCUACACAUCGUUUGAUCAAAAAAUUGCUAAUCAAUCACAGACGUAUGUUUACUUCAAGACGCAAGUAUUAAAAAUAAUUUCCCUUUUAGAAUUUAGAGCCAAAGAUUGCGUCGGAAAGUUACAUCCAGAGAGAAUGACUUUGUGAGGACGUGAUUCCCUGCGGUUUCUUAAGGCUGAGGUUAAGCAUGGAGAUUUUAAGAGAUUGCCUAGUCUACAUCAACGGUCGAGAGACACUGCAAUCUCAUCGCCACCAUUGCACAACAGGUGGCCAAGUGGGUCGUGUCAACACCAAAUUGACCCUUUGCUCUGGUCUAGGAGGUUUAGAAAUCUCAAAUCCGGUUUGUGCCGGUUAAGGAUUAGUAAAUAGUAAUGCAAAAGACAGUUUAUGAUGUCAAUUUAAAAACACAUGUACUUGAAACCUUCAAUCUUUUCACUUAAAAGUUUCUGCAAGAGACAGAUCCGAGAUCCCAGCUAUCAGAUCAUCGAUAACAACUGUAUCAUCAUUCAGUGGCUGUGGAAGGGGCUGUACUGUGGAAGAAUCAACGAGGGCCUUCUUCAGCUGCAGCACCAACCCUUCUUCCUCUUCACCUUCCCCCACAAUCUCCAGAUCCCACACCUUGAAAAUCUCUUGCUGAGUUACUUCGACCGGUUCCUCUGUAACCUUACAAUCGUCAGCAUCUUCUUGAAUGUAUGCGCUCAUGAAAUCAUCCUUGAAUACUUGAGACGACGAUACAGACUCUGGUUCUUCCUCUUCCGUCUCUCCAUUGCUCACUGACCCAUCUUCUUCUAUACUUUCAACACCUCCAAAGUCUUUAGUAGGAUCGUCUGCUGGUUCACGGGGUCCAUUCUCUGCUAUGGACUCUGAAAAAUAAUGAUCUUGUAAGGAAUUCUUUGACGGGUCUGAUUCAAACGUUAUCAAAGAUAUAAUCUCGCUGACUUCUUCAUUGGAUGAAUGAUUUUUACUGGUGGCUGAAUCAGCUUCAGGUUGGAAUGUGCGUAAACCAGUUGGCUCGGAAUCAGUCAUAUCCUCGUCUGGAGGCAGGACACUAGUUGUUCUUGUUGAGGAAGGAACAAACAUCUCGGGAUGGAUAUCGAUGAUUUCUGUUAAAGCAUCUCUAAAAGUUCCCCAAGUGGUGUGGUCUGACUCAUCAGGAAAACUGACGAUGCAGGAAUCAGCCCAAGCUAAAGACUCAGGAGAAAGAUCUUGCUCGUUUUUAACAGAAAGAGAAACCCCUGCGACGUCUUCUCGUUCAGCCAUGGCUACAACAAAAAGCACAUUCAGAUCUUUCAUGUUAUGAUGACAGAGGAUGGAUUAAGGCAGAAGCAUAGAUUCUCCCCGAUUAUCUACUGAAACCGGGAUGGCUAAACAAAAUCCCAAAUCGAAACUAAGUGAGAGCAGAAUACACUAAUUUCAAUAAUUAAGUGAAACAAAAACUACGGUUUCAUCGAUAACCCAACUACGUGUCUUCUUCACCACCAAAAGUGAAAUGCCUGAUAACUAAAACUCGAACUCACACGAAUCAAAAGAUCUCAGAAACGCACAUCGGUGACGAAUCGAAUCAAAGCGUAUAAACAUCAAAUAAGCAAACAGUUUCUUCUGAAUACACCUAAUUCCAUGUCUAAGUGCAAUGAUUAGUGGGCAAUUCAAUUCACGCUAGUAAUUAAGGAAAAUGACUAACCUUUAUCGAUACGAGAAUCCCAGAAAACCCUAAUUUCGGAAGACUAGAAGAAGAAAACUAAUUUUGAAUCUCUUGAGUCUUGACUGAAGAAGAAACGACGUUGAGUUGUGUUGUUGUUGUUGGAUAUAGCCCAAUACGAUGACGUUUGAAGAGCCAAGUUGGGUAACUUGUUCUUCUUUUCUAUUUAGUUAAUAGCCCAAACAUAUUUUUAGAUUUACAGAAAAGUCUCGUACUUUUUGUAUUUGGACGAUGUGAUCCAAAAGUAAAGCACGCAAUCAACAAAAAGUGCAUUUAUAAGCCCCCCCCCCCCUUUUUAACAUUCACUGAAGAAAGUCUCAUACUUCAACACUACCUUUGUCAUCUUAACAUGUAAUUAUCCCCAUAUAUUGCUACUUUUUUUUCUUUUGUCUUUCAUUAUAUGAAUCACAGUUAAAAAAAUAAAAAAUAAAUGUCUCACUUUGGAUUCAGUUCUUAGUUAUUACAUACAUGUUAAUUUUUUUUGCUAAAUCUUAAAAAGGCAGAGUCGUCUAGAAUAGGGUUAGCCUUAAAAUAAGCCAAAAGACCAACAAAUGGUGCAUUAAUGUAAGUAGUCGGCUCCGUCUCACUUGCGUUUGUCCGACCUCCAAUGAAUUUGUCAUCUAUGUCCGGUCCCCCGAUGACCGCACCAACUAAAAUGUUGGGGUCUGGAUUUGGCGAUGCAAAAACAUUCCAUCCUUCUAAGCAUUUGAUGGCCGUGGGAUGAGUCAUCACAGAUGGUGAGGAUGCACCGCGGUGAUGGAUUUGUCGCGGAUAUCGAUAGCCGUACCCGAUCAUGUAUGAUAUGUUAAUUGGAUUAUCUCCCAAAAUGUAAUCCACCUACAUUAUGAAAUACAAAACUCGUGAACAUUAUCAAGACAGACUCUAGCAUUAUAUGUGUAUUAAUUAUAUGGACUAACUUACUUGUCGUUUGGCCAAGCGACGGAGAGAAUCCGGUUGGAACAUGAGACUACCACAGUGGAGCUGUUGAGAGGAUUUAGAGAGGUCAUUGGCGUAGGUGAGGAGGAGAAAAGACAAUGCGACGGUGUUUUGAAGCUGGCUGCUUCCGGGUUUGUAAAGAAGGCCACCGGGAGAGUAACUCAUAUGUGCACCGGGACUUUCCAGAAAAAACGAACACAUCAAUUUUUCCGCUGUAUCCUUAUACGGUGCAAUCACAGCCACAUUCUUCUCAAAUACUUCCUAUAUCGACACCAAGUAGCACAGACGGUUAGAUUAAAAUUUGAAUUACGAUCCUUAGUUUUUAUUUUUGUACUUAGGAAUAUAAUCUCGUCAGUUCAAAAUCAUAUGUAUAUAUAGAGAAUUGGAUAUAUCCAACCUUUGCAACGAGAACAUUGACG